AUCAAGCAUCAAUGUUGCAUCUUUAAUUGCAGCUGCAGGAACGACAACGCUAUGCAAGAGGAAGGAAUCAUCACAGUGAGGGAAAGUAUGAAGGAGAACUGAUCCUGGAGGAAGAUGAUACGCAAUCUCUAUGCUUACUGUUCCGAGUGGUUGCAUUGACCUGAAUAGUUCGAUCUAUUUCUCGUGUAUCUACUUGCGCUGCACUUUCACUCGAAGAACCUACAAAAUUAUUCAUAACCCGGCAUAAAAAAGACGUAAAGUUUUCAGCGCGAGCAUGGUAACUUCAAAACCCGUUUCAUACCUAUCAUAUUUCAUUCGUCCCGCACCCUCAUUUAAAAGACUAGAGCUUAUAAAAACUAGAAGUACCUUACCCAGAACAUAAAAGCAGACAAAACCCAGUCGAGUAUAAAUAUAACGUUGAAUAACACCUACCAUUUACCAUUUCAUUCAAGAACACCACACAAUUAACGAAACCAACAUCGGUAUGUUUUCAGCCGUUGUACUUUCAACUUAAUUUUGAAAGCGCGGCAGCUAAAGCCUAAACUGUUGUUUGAUAAAAGUCCACCCACUGACUGCUACCUGGCGGCUACCGAUUCCAUUCAAUAGCAGUCAUAAAAUAAAAAGUACAAAACAAACCUAUGUACAAAAAAGGCAAUGAAGCAGCCAUGGAUUCAGUUAUUUGCAUGUUUGGGAUUGUGGUUGAUUCCAAAUUGAGAAUAUACUGCGAAAUUAUGUUUGAUAAGCAUUUAUCUGAUGAUUGCUACUUUAUUGAGUGCCUGUUUGGUAUGGCUUAUUUAAAAGCCAUAAGUGCUUAUUUAAUCGUAUAAGCACUUUUUUAAAAUUUUUAUGGUGUUUGGUUAUUUUUUUAGUAGAGUUUUUUUAGCUUAAAUAAGCUAAUUUACCUCUACUAGCAAAAGCCCAAAAUUUGAGCUUUUGGGAGUAGAGGUUAAAGAGCUUAUCUAAAAAAUAUAUAAUAAAAAAAAUAUCAUACAGUUUAAUGAUUCAAAAGUGUUUUUUUUAUUGACAACCAAACACCCAAUGACUUUUUGUCCAAAAACUCUAUUGGUAUAAGCUCUACUGCUAUAAGCUCUAUUGUUAUAAGCUCUAUUUAAUAAGCUGUACCAAACGGAGCCUAAAGCAUUCAUUUUUUUUUUUCGCGUUUGGCCUCUUCACUUUUUAAAAAAUUUUAUGGUGUUUGGUUAUUUUUUUAGUAGAGUUUUUUUAGCUUAAAUAAGCUAAUUUACCUCUACUAGCAAAAGCCCAAAAUUUGAGCUUUUGGGAGUAGAGGUUAAAGAGCUUAUCUAAAAAAUAUAUAAUAAAAAAAAUAUCAUACAGUUUAAUGAUUCAAAAGUGUUUUUUUUAUUGACAACCAAACACCCAAUGACUUUUUGUCCAAAAACUCUAUUGGUAUAAGCUCUAUUGUUAUAAGCUCUAUUUAAUAAGCUGUACCAAACGGAGCCUGAGUCUUCAAAGAAAAACUCAAUCAACUAAUGCUCGAUUUUUUUUUUUAAAUGACAAAUCAAAAAGUAUUUUGGAGUAGAUUCUCAAAAGAGUGAUUAUUUGAUAAUCCACCAUAAUCCCACUUAGUUAUCAGAAAUAAAUUAAAAUCCGACGAAUGUUACUUAAGCCAAACAGCAUUAUUUUAUUUUGACCACAAGGACCACAACCCUCAAGCUGUCAAGCAACCGUUACCGUUAACGACCAAUCUUUCACCUCUCCGAAUCUUUGCAAGUCACUAUCAAGCAACCGUUACUAAUAUUUAAUCAAUUAUUAGGAUUAUUGGAUUUCUCAAAUACCUUAUGUACUUUGGUUCACUUUCUACUAAAAUAAAUAUUACAGGAGCUUUCAAAGUCUAGGCUAAGGUUGUUGUAAACAUAGAGAGAUUCAGAGAUAUAACAGCUUGUAAUUACAUACCACAAAGCAUAACUUUGUUCGAAUGAUAAUGAUCAUAAUCCAGAUUAUAGACGUAGAGAGAGGAGAAGUCGUACUUGAGGGGCAAAACGCGGCGUUUUGGCUCGUGGAUGAGGUGCUGCUCCUGAUCGUCGUAGAUUGAAGGGAGGAGAGGUCGGUCGAGGAAGUUUAGGAGACGGUGGAGGCUGAAUUGGUGAAUUUCGAUGAAGACUGACGAAUCCAAUGGGGCUUGAGGGUUUGAUUUGCAAAGAUGAAAGAUAAGAGCAUUGUUUUGGUUUCUGUGCAAAAAAAAAAAAAAAAAACAUGACAAGCGUUGUUUUGGUUUUGGUUCUAAAAAGAUGAAAAUUUGACUGCAAUGGAUCCAUACGCAGUCGGUGUCAAAUAAGAGGAGAAACAAAUAUGUUAAUCACUCGCUCAAUCACUCAUGCGAAGUGCCUUUUUUUUCGUUGCUUUGGCUUCUGAGAAAUAUAUGCAUCAGAUAUUACAACUCUCGAGGAUAAUGCAUUUUGUUCCGGUUUUGACUGAUAUUUAGUGGCAUUUGAUAAACUGAUACCUCAGAACCUGGUAGAGAGUUUAUUAAAUACAAAGAGAACAAAAAUAUAUGACUAUAUAAGCUUUUACACGGUUGAAGAUCCGGUCAAAUUGGCUUUAGUUAGCAAGAUCAUUUAAAACUUUCAAAAAACGAAUGGUAUCAAAAAGCUCUGAGAAAAAGCGGAAAAAAGGCACCACAAAGAUCUUGCAAUUAUUAUCACAGCUUGAUAAGACAUGGAAAUGUAUCUUACAAAUUGGCCUUCCAAGCAUCAAAGAAUUGGGUGGCGACAACUCCCAUUCCUAGCUGCUACCGUGGCCAGUCCCUUCUAACUAAAAUGGGACAGGACCAAAAGCAAGGUCUCUCCCACUCUCCUUAUGUAUAUAAAAUUCCCUACAUUCGAAUAAAACUACAGAAAAAGAUUUGCACAUCAUCUUCUUUCACCUUAUUUUGCAAUCUUCAAGAGUUUGGAAGAUUUCAAAGCACUUGUUAGAAUGUAGCACUCCAUUAAGCAUUCUCACCUUCCCCACACCCCAAUGGACCUCCUUAAUCCUAUCGGCAGACCUACAAAUUCUGCUGCAACUCCAAUCAAAUAAAGCAACACAAUUGUUGCCUGCCUAAGCCUUCCACUCACAGCCUGCAAUGACAAGUUCAUGAUACAAAAUCAGAAACAUUAAUAAACAAAAAGAUAUUACCAUUACUUGCAGAGGGGGAUUUGUUGCAAUUAGUAAAUGCCAUACUUAUCACUUUCAUUGCAGAUAUCAUCAUCAUCAUAAUACUAGCAAUCCAGCACUAAUAGUCAGAAUAAUAAUAAUAGUAGCAUGAAUAAAGAAUUUCUGCAGAGUAAGCUCUAAAGAUGCCGAAAGUGUCAUCUAUUAUGUUAAUAAUAAAAAAGUCUAUCAAGAAUUCAAGGAAAGAAAACUCAUUAACAAAGAACUAAACUUUUUAAUAAUGUUUAAUAAACUACGUACCUAUGAUUUUCUAUUAUUAACAUAAAUGACACUACGUACAACUGAUUUUCGCUUUCUAAUGUUUCAAAUCAUACCGAGAAAUAUAACAAUUACCAAGUCAGUAAGUAGCACAAUUACUUAAUAAGACUUUGACUUGUCUAACCCAAAAUUGUACCCAAUUCUAUACUCUACCAUGAAAAGCUUAUGAAGCCGAACUUACUUUGACCAAACAGUACUAUUAGCUCAGUUAAAGGAAACCACAAUUGAACAAAGUUCAGCUGAAAUAACUGAACUAAAAAAACUUGAUAAAAUUAAAAGUAACUUAUAACAGUUUAGUAAAGAAGCAUACAAAACAUGAAGAUAAAUAAACAUAGGUCUAUUUUCUUGACACUACCAGGUCCUUUCCUUUUUUUUUUUUCAGAUAAGAUCUCGAUACUACCAAGUUUUGGAUUCAAAAUCACCAUAUUACAAUAAUAGUUGUGAUUCAUGGGAUACAAUAUGUAGCAGCUUAUAUGUCGGCAAUUAUAGUCAAAGAUGGUUGUCAAACAUCAUCGCAAAUCAAGAAGCUAAUAAAGACCAUGUCACACUACAUUAACAUAUAUCAGUUCUUUGAUACAAAGAUAUUGAAUGUUAUACAUUUCUAAUCCCAAGUCCUGAAAUACAAAACAAAAGUUCACUUCACACAGUCAUAAAGCUAGACUGCUAGAUAAAUGGACAAUAGGCAUUGGAUAUGGGUCAAUAAACUAUUAAGCUAAUUAAUGCACACGAAGGAAUCCGUUAGAGCUAGUAAAAUAGCCCUUACCAGAGAACUCGCAGAAGCAUUCAAUUUCCUCAAAGGAGAUAACUUACAACAUAAACAUUUUGAUAAGCAGCAACACACAUAAAAUAGCUUCACUCACUAGCAACAGAGCAACUUCUUCAACACAUUAAUAAAUCCAUUUUCAUUUUUAAACAACAAAAUAAUGCCCAGUUUCUCCAGCACAAAUAGGGUAAGCAGUAAUAGAAAAACAUGAUACAUAGGAAUUACCGGCCUCAAGAAAUCUCCAAGCUUUCUGUCCUCUGCUUCAAUUGCUCAAUCAAGAAUGCCCCAGACGUUGCGCUAGCGUGGUGGUGGAGCGUCGCGAAGCGUGUGGCGGCGGUGUCGGCGAAGGCAGGUCAUGAAGAUAGUUGGUGUCGCGCAGCGAAGGCAGUGCAGCUGGUGUCAUGCGGCGAAGGCAAAUCGCGUGGUGGUGGAGUUGGGGUCGCGCGGCAGUGGCGGUGCGGUGCUGAGGCAUAAUAGUGGCGGUGGCGUUGUGCGACAGUGGCAGUGUGGAGGCAGAUUGCGUGGAGCUGGCGGUGUUGAGGCAGAUCGCGUGGAGGCAGAUGCCGCGGUGGUGGAGUUGCUGUCGCGAUCAACGCCUGUGAAAGGGAAUGAAAGUGAAGGAGAUACCUACAAAAGAAAGAACGAGUGAAAUUUUUUUUUUUGUUCAAGGGUUUCAAACCCACAUAAACCCGACUCUCACACGGGUUCAGUAAGUUUAUGCGGGUUUGACUGCAUUACAAAUUGGUAUGACCACAACAACAGUACAAUGAUUGGUAAUUACCAAACAUGCUAUUUAUGUUGGUAUUAAAUUAAUUUAAUACAAUGAGGAGUGGUAAUAUCAUACAAUGAGGACUGUUAAAUAUGGUGUGUUUAAUAUGUUGUAUUGUAUUAUAUUAUUUUAAUACAAAUAUAUUAUAUUAUCUUGUAUUAUAAUAUAAAAUAAUGAAAAAUAUCGAAUUUCAAUAUAUAAAAAAAAAAUAAAUAUAUUUUGUUAUAUUCGAUCUGCUGUACGGCCAAGGCGGAUGUACGGUACAGCAGAUAAGAAUUUAAAUACAUACACUUAUAAUACAACUUAGUUUUUCCACAUUGUCGAGGGAUCAAAACAACCCAUCAUUGGAGUCCAAUAAGUUAUGUGGCGACACAAAAAAGUAAUUCUAUAUUUUUUACGUCAUAAAUAUGUAAAAAAAAUUGUAUUAUAUCUUAUUAUUAUUAGUUUUUUUUCUUCAGUUUUGACAAGUAUAGUUUUCUUGUUGAGUGGCUCAACAAGGCUGGUUACAAUUUCGAAAUAAUGUUCCAUCUGUAUCUGUUUUCCUUUUGUUUUUGAUUUUGUAGUAUAGUUAAUUUGUACGAAUUUGUUGCCUGGUUGGUUUUUAUGCUGAAAAGUCAGUUCAUUGGAAAUGACAGAAAAUUGUUUUUCUUUUUCAUUUUUACAGAAAGAGAUUUGCAACGUUAUAAAAGUAAGAGAUCCUAAGAGAUCCCUGAAUCAUAUUAAAUAUUAAACUUAAGAUACAGUCAAGGCUUUUAUUAUGUUACUAAUCAUGUAACGAAUAUAAUUAUGUAGCAGUCGUUAAAUACAAAUUUAACAGUUAUAAAAAUAACAUGAUUUUAUUAUCUUAUAUUUCUAUAAUCGUUGAAUUUUUAUCUGCUGUACCGUACAUCCGCCUUGGCCGUACAGCAGUAUUGAAUUUUAAAAAUUUAAUAUUAUUUUUUUAAUAUAAAUAUUAAAAAAUAUCAUAAUUCUUCAUAGAAAUCGAAGUUCAUGGCAUUAAAUUUUUAACGCCGCAUACAUAAUAAAAAAUUUGAUUCUCUAGUGCCAAUAUAAUAGAAUACAUAAAAACGAGACUGAGAAACUACGAAUAAAGCUCAUCAUCAAGGACUCCACAACAUUAUAAGAAGUACUAUGUAACAUUUGCCAAAUUACAACACCACAUCAAGACAUAUCACAAUGUAAAAUUUUUCCUAGAGAUUUGGUAAUUGAAAAACACAAUUCAAGUUGAAAACUGAUAGUCGACUUGAAAAGUUUUAACAUAUCCCAUAAAAGAAAUGUGCCAUGCCAAAAAUCCUAACCCUUGGCUCUUUGACGAUAAGAAAAUAUUGAAAAUUCCAAAGUACAGUGCAAUGGGAGAAAGAAUGCCUAUAAAGCUAGUAAAGAUAUUCUUAAACUACUAUUGGGAUGUUGGGCUGGUUGGUAGCAAAACCCAAACCCUGCUGCUGAUUUCCGAUACCACCAUCUUGGAUAAGCCGCUCUCCCUCCUCUUCCUAACUCCUAAGCCCAAUAUCUUUCCAAAACCUUCACAACCCACUCAUAAAUCUCAUUGUUGUCGUGGAUAUGCAAAUUCUCAAUCUUUUCUACUCCAUCACACUCAUCAAUCAUUUGGGUAUAAACAUUAACCCAAUUAUCCAUUCCUAUUUCCUUGUUAACCUCACCCACCUUGAAAAUGUUCUCAAGACCCUAUAGACAAACUGUGACGAUCCUUUGGUCCAGACAAACCAGAAGAUCACAGAGCGGUUUGAUGCAACCUUGGCUCACCAGGAAUCUGCAGGACCAUGGUACCAUAAGUGAUUCUAUCACAUGAACAUCAUUAGAUUAAAAAAAGAAAAAAAAAAGAAACAUCUAUCGUAUGAACAUUGCUGAGUGAAUAAAAGAAACAUACUGAAUAUGUUCAUGAGAUCCUCCAUAUGUGGCAUUUAAGACAGGCCAUGCAGCCUCCUUGAUUUCAAGUUCUGCAUGUUGAAGAAGAGGUGCACAAAAGGAAGGAUAAGGAAGGAUGAUAUUGGCCUCCAUAACAGCCUGUUGAACAAAAAUUCGACAAAUUAUAAUUAUGAGUAUAUUUAAGUAGCAAUUUUGUCAGAAUUAACUAGACUUGACUAUUGAGGAAGUCACAUUCAAAAAUAGAAAAGACGAGCAAGCAAUUGUAUUCAUGCUAUCGGGACCAAAAUACUAUGAUGCAAGCAAGAAAGAAAAACAUACAUACAUAUAAAACACUAUCUUUGAGUUGGGUAUUUUCUUUCAAUUUUGAUAAUGGCAACUUUGGAUUCUUCUGCUGAAUUACCACCACCACCACACCAUUGUAGUUUCACAUACUAAGAAAAGGCAGGUUCAGCUCCCGUGCAUGCCCAUAAGAAUAUGAUGUAUUAAUUAGAAGUAAAAUUAAUCUGUUCAAUUAAGUUCUCUCAUAUAUUUGUGUGCGUGUGUGUGUUAAUUAGUUUGCUUUCAAAUCUUUUCUCCCUUCUUAAUGAUAUAUAUUUUAAGCAUGAUAUCAACCACGAUGAAUUUAUUAGCCGAUUUUUAAUUAUACAUUCAGCAUGAUAUCACAAACCAAGAGCUUAAGUUAGCCUAAUUCUUCAUAAAUCUAAUAAUUGCAAUCAAUAAUAAUGCUGAAAAUACGAGUUUGAAUUAAGCUAGCAACUGGUUCUUAAAUUAUGCAAUAUGUAAUCAUAGGUUUACUUAAAGAUUAAAGCAUUUCUGCAAUCCAUUGUGCAAAAAGAUUAAAAAAAAAAAAAAUAGUUGCCAAAUUUUAUCUAAAUAAAAAUUCCUUUAGUGGUUAGUACUUGUGAAUUAUAGAAAUUAUUAUUAGUACUUGCUCAGCGCUUUUUAGAUUUGUACAGGUAGAUUACGCCAUUUCAAACCCGACCAUCCAUUUAGACAUACAAAUCCCCCCAAUUCCCUGUCCUCCGCCUUUACGCGACUCUCCACUGUAUGUGCCAACUAAUUAAUUUUUUAAUUACUUGUUUAACUAAUUAAUUCAUUUUCUCAAAAGCAAGAUUAAUCUAUUUGUUCAAAUCUGAAGGAGAUUAAGUUAAUUGAUUUUAUUGUAUGUAAAAAUAUACAAAGAACUCAUGAAGCCAACUAGAAAAAAAAAAAAAGACAAAAAAAAAAUCAAACCCAGAAAUAAAAAGACAUGCUUCGACAGAAAAUUAAUGAAAAUUAUACUGAUUGUGGUUCAAUUUGAUCAAACCCAAAUAAUAACCGGUUUGAUUGAUGACUCAGCGGCAAAGUGCAGGCGCAUCAGUGGUUGCACAGAUGAGUGUUCUCGUGCGGCACGACAAAGCAAUUGUCGGCGAUUGUGAUUGGUGAUGACAUCGAGCGAUGGGGGUAAUGGCAUCGGUCGUGACUUUGUGAUGGAGAAACGAAUGUUAGAUUCGUUCGAAGAUUCGUGUUUUGAUUGAAUAACAAAGAGAGAUUUUAUGAGUUUUAAUUAUCUAAUACGAUACCGCAUAAACCCGACUCGUACGUGGGUUUAUUUUAUGCGGGUUUCGGUGUACUAAAGCAGUAAAUUUAUGUGGUGCAAUUCAAACUGAUUUCACCGCCAAAAGAUCGUGUAAAUUUAAUAUUAUACAGGGUUUUAAUACUAUGUAAUCCAAUACACCAAACAUGCCCUUAAAAACGGAUAGCAAUCCGGGGCCUUUAAAAACGGAAAAUACAAGCAGAGAAAAAGAAAAGCCAAUUGUUCAAAAGUGCCUAAUAUGCCCACGGAAAAUUUUCGUCACGACCCACAGUUACUCGAAUAGGUAAUAAGACAGGAAUGCCUUUGUUUGUUCGAAUAUAGAAGCACAAUGGCUCAGAAAGGAUCCCUCCAAUCUCCUUGGCACUGUCAGCUGGGUGCGGAGUAGCUUGGUGGCAGCAACCAUGUUUGAGAGGGCUGGCUUCACCUCAGUGUACUUGCGAGUCUUGAGACCACAGUCAGGGUUAACCCACAAAAUGUUGGUUUCUAGCACAGUACGCAUCUCGUAGAUUCUGUCAACAAUUUCUUCGGUUGAUGGUAUUCUUGGAGAGUGGAUGUCAUAGACGCCAGGGCCAAUUGCAGCAUCAUACUGGACUCCCUCACGGAAGACUGACAGGAGAUUCUCAUUAGAACGAGAGUUCUCAAUGGUGAUCACAUCAGCAUCCAUGUCGAUAAUUGAGUGGAUAAUGUCGUUGAAGUUGGAGUAGCACAUGUGGGUGUGGAUCUGUCAAUCAAUAAACAAUAGAAUGAGAUACAAAAUCAACAGCUAAAUUAAAGAGAUGAGAUUGGAGAUUAAAAGGGUAACUGACCUGGGUAGUGUCCUGGAUGCCACAGUUGGUGAUUCUGAAGGAGUGGACUGCCCAGUCCAAGUAGAAAGCAUGCUCAGAUUUCCUGAGAGGCAAUCCUUCCCUCAAGGCAGCCUCAUCAAUUUGAAUAACGUUAAUGCCUGCCUUCUCAAGAUCCUCGACUUCGUCCUUGAUGGCCAAAGCAAUCUGGUAGCAGGUUUCAUGUCUGCAAAAUUGGCAGCGAUUGAUGUUAAACAAUGUUUCCAUUCCAAAAGGUUAACCAAUAGUGAACCAGUUCUCAUUUAUAUACCUGGGCUGGUCAUUUCUGACAAAGGACCAGUUGAGAAUGGUGACAGGGCCAGUAAGCAUUCCCUUCAUUGGGCGAGCAGUCAUGCUCUGAGCCCAGGAGGACCAGAAGACGGUCAUAGCCUUGGGACGGCUCACAUCACCAUAGAUGAUGGGUGGCUUCACACAGCGAGAUCCAUAGGAUUGCACCCACCCAUUGGCAGUGAAGGCGAAACCUGAUAACUGCUCUCCAAAGUACUCAACCAUGUCGUUUCUCUACAAAAACAAAUGUCCGAAUUCAAUUUGAGAUCCAGCAUACUUCGUAUGCAAUUAGAAAUGCAGAAACAAAAAUGUAUAAAAUUUUAUGUAAUUCAAAACCAGGAGACAUUGCUUUGCUUCCAUUGGGCAUUGCGAGACUCACCUCAGGCUCUCCAUGGACAAGGACAUCAAUAUCAAGCUCUUCUUGGAGUUUGACAACCUUGUUGAUUUCCUCCUUGAUGGAAGCAACAUAUUCUUCCUCAGAAAUCCUAAAAAGGACAAAUAGUCACGGCACAGUUAAUACAGUAGUUGCAGUAAUUUCACACAUGGCAUUGAAUGAAGAAACACCUCAGAUUGACUCACUUCUUAGCCUUGUAUUCACGGCGGACUCUCCUAAGUUCAAUGGUUUGUGGGAAGGAUCCAAUUGUGGUGGUUGGGAGGAUUGGAAGAUUGAGCUUCUUCUGUUGAGCAUCUAAUCUAGCACUAACGUUUGUAGCACGUCUGUGGUCUGAUCCCCUCAAAGCAGCAGCCUAAUAGACCAAGAGGAAGGAAUCACUGUUAGCAAAAAAGGAAAUUCUAAGGGACAGCCACAUCAUAAAAAUGGAAAACAAAUCAAUCAUGCCACUUACAGCCUUUUGAACUGCCUCAUUGGUCACUCUCGGGGAGGACUUUCUUGAAGCCUGAGCUGCAGCAUUGGCAGAGAAGAAUCCCUGGAAACAAAUGAUAAGGAGAACCAAAGUUAGUCUCAUUCAUAUCAUUUUAAAAAGAAGAUACAUAUGCAAUUAGUGGGCUGAUUGUGAGAGAAAAAGUCCCCAAAACUUUAAUCAAACACCAAAUGCCCAAGUUGCCAAAUGAUGUUUAAUUCGGAAAAAUAUAUUUAAAAACAUUCAAAUAUAAUUUCCCCUUCUAAAUUUUCAUUUUCAACAACAUAUUUUACAAGCCAAGCUCAACGUCAGGCCAAGAUUUUGUGCUCCUAUAAUUAUAUUUUACCAUAAAACUAGGUCCUUGAAAGGCUAAGAUUUUCUGACUCUUGUGACUAGUCAAAGCCUAAGAUUCUUUCAAUUCAUCCGUAGUAAAAGUAUACCUCAUCCUUUUGGCCAGCCAAAGCCUUGGCCAAUGCAUUGACUUCAACAACUUUCUGGGCAGCAAAUGCCAGCCAUGACUUGAUUUCGUCGUCGAGUUUGUUCUCAUUAACAAGAUCAACAGCAGUGUGAAGAAGUGAGCAGGAGGUGGAGACCACAAGCUUGUCUGCAAAGAAAAGUAAUAAAUUAUACAACAAAUCCCAUAAUAGAAUAAGAAAUAUUUAUCACAAAGAAAAAUGCAAGCAAAGGAUGUAUACCUUUGCCAACAACACCCUCAAGCCCCCGGAGAACACUAAGAGAAGCAGCAAGAUCAUUGGCCCAAAUGUUCCUUCCAUCAACCACUCCAGCAAAGAGGUACUUGCCAGCAGGGAAUCCACUCUUGAUCAAUUCAAGGGUCUUGGUUCCACGAACCAAAUCAAAUCCAUAAGCGGUGACACCCUUCAAAGAAGUGAGGGUCUGGAAUGCCUCAGCUGGAACAUCAGCAAAGUAGGUCUCAACAAGAACAUUCAAGCCAGACAGAGUUGACUCUAGUUCCGCGUAAGCCUCACUGAAUGCUUGCAAUUUGUGUGAGUCAAGAUCCGUAACAAGCAAUGGCUCAUCAAACUGAAUCCAGGAAGCACCAGCAGCCUUAAGCUCAGAAACAACUUCCCUGCAGAAGUGUUAAUUGGUACGACACGGAUUAAUGAUGCCACACGAUACACACACACACACACACACACACACACACACACACACACACACACACACACACACACACACACACACACACACACACACACACACACACACACACACACACACACACACACACACACAGACAGAGUUAUUUAGCACAUACACGUUUAUAAAUCUGUAAAUAGGUGAUAAUUCUUACUUGUAGAUCGGAAGGAUUUUGGGAAGAAGAGAGAGAACAGAAAAGGUCUUCUCAACCCCCCAGGCAGGCUUAGACAGCAACAAGUAUGACACAGGGCCAAUAAGCACUGGGACAGUUUCAACUCCAUGCUGCAGCAUUAGACAAGUGGUAGAUAUUAGCAUCUCACAAACUUGAUCUGACUGAUAGAAAGUUACAAGCAAGUUAAGAAUAUGUUUGAUGAAAUUUCAAUGAAAAAUCUUCAGGGUCCACAACAUGUUGACUAUACCCUUUUUAAGUAAUUUAUCUUAAGACUAUUUUGCAAACAGUAUUGCUUCCCUUUACAGAUCAAAUAAAUCAUACAACAUCUGAACGCAUUUCCUGAGCCAAAUAUAAGUUCAAAGCUCUAUAAUAAAUGUCAAUGACUCUAUAGUAAAUUCCAUCACAUUCUGAGCUAUGGAUGAGCAUAUCAUAUGCCAAUUUCAAGUUGAACGUAACCCAAUUUCAACAUAUUGUAGAUUCAAGUAUCAAACGAAAAAAAAAAUAUUGUAAAUAUAGACAGAACUGAGAACAAACACUCACCCCCUUAGCCUCCUUGUACUCAGUCACAGCCUUGUGGGAAGCGUAGGAGAACUUAACAUCGGGUCCCAAUUCAGGAACAAUGAAAUGACUGCAUCAACACGAAGCCAAACACACGUCAGCAUUCAGUACAAAACCAUUACACCAUAACUAACUUGAAAUGCCGCUCUUCCAAGUAGUGAAUACUUACUAGUUGGUGUCGAACCACUUGGUCAUUUCCAUUGCGAGAACAGAGGCGUUUCCUCUGGCCAUGGAGAAGUAAACAUCGAAUCCAAUCUCGCCGCCGUUCCAGUUAAACCUCGGGGGCACGGCACCGAGCAUUGCGGUGGUGUCGAGCACUUGGUCGUAGUAGGAGAAAGUGUUGCUGGGAAUGUAUUUGAUCCCGGCCUCGGACAUCUGUUUCCAGAUGGAGGAUCUGAGAUCAGCGGACACCUUUUGCAAAUCCUCGGCGCUGCUCUUGCCAUCCCAGAAGGAUUCCAACGCGAACUUGAGCUCCCUCUUGGGGCCCAUGCGUGGGUAACCAACGAUGUGAGAUGCCAUUUUACUGUCAUAAUCACGUCAUCAAUGAAUCGAAAAUCAGUCCCUUCCAUUAAAUCAAGAAAUUAUUAAUUCAAAUGAAUGGAUCACAUUGUAUAUAUAUGGGAUAAAUAUAAUUAUGAACAAAAGCGUCUAAUCAAUCACAAAAAGCAAGCGACUGCAUCAAAUUUAGGGAUCCGACCCGACCCGACCCGAUCUGUAAAUUCCGGUUUCAAUCGGAUUAAGAUGAAACCUCUAACCCGAUAUAGUUGGAUUUUGGCCAACUCGAUCGGAUCAGAUCGGAUCGGAUUAAACUUAGUCCAAUCCGAAAAAUUCAAAAAAUCAAAACUACAAUAAGUAUAAAUCUAAAUUUUCAAUUCAAUUUGAUCUAAUCUGAAUAUAUUCGAAUCGGAUCAAAUACUAUGCUCUGCUUAAACUUGGAUUAUAUUUUUUUCAAUUUGAUUAACCUAAAAUUCGAUUGGAUAGAUCCAAAACUGAAUUUAUCUACCCCUCAGUCAUCAAUCAAUUACAAAACCUAAAAUCCGAUUGGAUAGAUCCGAAACUGAAUUUAUCCACCCUUAAGUCAUCAAUCAAUUACAAAGGCGACUGAUGUUUAUACAAUGGACAAUUAUUAAGUUACAGCUCUUGUAAUUUACAACUUAUACAAAAAUAUGUGAAAAAUUGUGAUAGGCAGUACAGUGUCAUGAUUUUAUACAAAAAUAUGUAAACAAUUGUGAUAGACGGUAGAACCUCAUGAUUUUAUAAAAAAUACGUAAAAAGUUGGGAUAAGUAAUGGAGCCCGCAUAAUUUUUUAUCAGCUGCAAGUUGCAAGUUACAGCAACUGUAACUUAGCGACCCCGACUUCAAUGUAAAAUGAGAAAGUACUCCUCCGCAUAGUACCUGAUGCUCAAAAGUCAAAUCACACGAAAUGCAAAUAGACUUAUCAGAGCAUAAAACCUUAUAUUACUUUUUGAAAAACGAUUUGAAACAAGGGCAAAAUUACAGUGUAACCGUACUUAGUCAUUGAAUUCAGCUCACAAUUAUCAUUAUAGUUAGAUCUAAUAACUAGAUCCAACUGUAUCCACAGUUAUAUUGUAGUUAGAUCUGAUAACUAAAUCCAGAUCCAGCUGUCCCCACAAUUGUCAUUAUAGUUAGAUCUAAUAAUUAGAUUCGGCUGAUUCAGCUGUGAUGUAGUACCCUGUAGUGCCAUAACUGGACAAAGAAACAAACUGAUAUAUUUUCUUUUUUGAAACAAACUGAUACUAAUCCAAGAGUUUCAGAUGAUCGGUUUUUUUUUUUUUUUCUAUAGUCACAUCAAUAAUUAAGUACUUUCAGUCAUUUUCGAAGGAUUAAAACGAAAACUCUAAAAAAAUUCUGAGAAUGAAGAAUCCGAAAAUAGAUUCAGAAAUAGUAACACAAGUAGAGGUCAGAUUGUUUUUUGGAAAAGAUUAAUUGCAGAUCUGAUGAACUCAAGUCUAGAUCUAGCAAAAUCACGGCAGCCAAACACUAGAUCUAAGACUAACAGUCACUCACCAGUCGAUCAGAAAGUGAAAUCAAGUUCAAAAUUCUUUUUUUUUAAUAGAUCCAAAAGCUAAUAUACAUAUAUAUAUGGCAAAAUAUAUAUACCGUACCCGAGAAGGACGAGCAGAGAAAUUAAGCUUUUUUCGAGAGAACGAGAAAGAAGAGAGACGAGACUGUUAGAAAUUGCUGUCAGUUUAAUUUUUAUUUAUAGCCAAAAACCUAACCUUGUUUAGUGGUUACUGGUUACCGUCUUCGGCGGUGUUGAUCUGAGAUUUAUCAUUUUAAUUUCUUUCUCUUACUUAUUUAUUUAAUUUGGGUCCAACUACGGUGAAACUGUAGUACCGUGCUACAGUUAUUUUCAACCGUUUGAUUCACUUGGAUGGUGGGAUCCAAUAAAAUCCAAUAACUGGGUGCAACCGUAGCACGGUGCCGCAGUUGCACCACAGUUUUUCCCAUUUAUUUAUUAUGCUUUCAGUGCAGUUGGCAAAAACAUGGAGCUUACGCGCGCUUUUCUGAUGUGGCGCGUGAAUUGGAAAUGUGGUAGAUCUUUGUGGAUCCGCCGGUGCAGUGAAGAGUGAAGGAAAAAAGAGAAAAGUUAUCAUGCCAGAUCAUUUGAAGAGAGCCGCAAUUAGUAAUUACACCACAAUAUAUUUCUGAUUAUUUGCUUACUUUGAUGAUGUUUUUACUGAUUAGUAAUUGGAAUAUGUUAGAAUCUAAAUAUAGUAGAAUCAUAAUAGAGUUGAAUCAAAAUAGACUAUAAUUAGAAUGGAUAAUGGGAAUUAGAAGAAUUAUUUGCUUUAGUUGUGAGAAUCCAAAUUGGAAUGAACUAUAUUGUCGUUGAUAUGUUUACUUUAUCAUAGAAUAUGAAUGAAUUAUUACAAGUUACUAAACAGACCUUAAGUUGAUUAUUGUCAUUAUUUAUUUAUUUAUUAUUAUUAUUAUUAUUAUCAUCAUCAUCAUCAUCAAAAUUAUUAAUCUUAUUAUUAAUGUUAAUUAUAAUAAUUAAUAAUUAUAAUAGUAUUAUAAUAAUAAUAAUAAUAAAAGCAAUCAUAAAAUGAGAAUUUCAAGAUUUAAGUAGAGAUAAUAUAAUUAUUUUAGAAAAUGAGAAUUUCCAUGAGAAUGUGAACUCUAUUAAUCAUUCCCAAUUUGAAGUGGGGCCUGCCAUUUUGAUUCAAUCUCUCAUUUAAGCAAGUAAAUACGACAUUUAUUCUCAUUCCCUCAUUCCCACUCUCAGGUAGCGUUUGUUUUUUAACUUAAUGACUUAAAGUGACUUAACUUAAUUAAUUAAGUUAAUUAGAGGUGUUUAUUUUUAUAACUUAAUGAGACUUUUUAGAUAAUUUUGACUUAAUAAAAUGAGCCAAUUUUUUUUGGCUUUUUACUUAAUGGAGAAAUUUGAAUUUAGUCAAUUACUUACUAAUGUCAAAAAUAUCUAUGUUUUAUAAUUUAUUUUUCAUGUCUAUCCCAAAACUCACCCAUAGACAUUUACCCCACAUAAAAAUAUCCCUAUUUUUUCUUUCUUAUAUUAUAUACGAUAAAAUUUGAAAUUUAUGGUAUUUUAUAUAUUAAAAUUCUAAAAUAAUUAUGUAUUCACUUGAAUAUAGUUUUACUUAUAACUGUUAAAAUAUUGUGGUAUUUAAUAUAUUAUUUAUUUGACAUUAAAAUUUAAUAAGGAUACAAAUGUAAAAGUACAUAUUUUCAGUUUUUUCAGUUAAAAAAAAAGCAACUUAAUACUUAUUUUUCGAGAUUCAGACGAAAAAAUAAACAUAUUAUUCAUAUUCAGACAUUUAGAUAUAUUCAGAAUUCAAACUAAUUCAGGUCUAUUCAGAUUUUAGACAAAAAAAACAAACGCCACCUCAAUCAAUAAACACACCAUAAAUGUAGAGUUGUUACUAUUAGAAUACAUUAUAAUUCAUCACAAUUAUGAUAGGUAUAUACGUGUGUAAUAAUUUAUAUAAGAUGCUAAAUUUUGAAAAUAAUAAAAAAUCAUUUAUACAUAUUUAAAAAAAUCAUUAAUACAUUAAAAUGUGCAUCACAUAUACAUUUACAUAAUAGCAAUGACCAUAGUAUAAAAAAAACUCCUAAAAGAGAACGACUUCGUUAUUUAUGUUAUUUUAUAUAUUUUUAAUUGAUUAUUAAAAGGAUCAAUUGUUAAUUAUUAUUCUCCAAACAUAAUCACCGUUAAACAUUUAUUCAAUUUAACAAUAGGUAGAUGUUAAAUAAUAUUGGAAUAUUUAAUGAACAAUAUAAUCACUAUUGCAGUUGUUUUUUUUUUUUAGUAAUGGAUUAUUCGAAACUCAAAUUCAUUUUUUAGCCCCCUUACCUCUCUUAAAAUUCAAAUUUAAGUGACUAAACAAAUAAAACUGCUUAAAAUCUAUACGACUACAUCUUUGGGGACCAAUUAAUAUGGAUGUUUAAAUCUUGAUUUAUUAUUAAAUCUUUGAGUUUCAACCACUAAUAACAUCAUCAUCGAUUAAUGACAAAUAAAAUAAUACAUCAUCAAAACCAUUAAACACGUCCAUCAAUAUCAAAAACAAGUAAAAAGUUUAGCAUGUAUUUCAAAUAUACUUUUCAUCCCAAAAGUUGUAGAGAAAGUCUCGAUAUCAAUGUCACUAUGAGACGUAAUUUUAUAUUUAAAGUCAGCGCAACUUAAAAAUUACUAUGAAUGAAUAAUACACCAUAAAAAAAUUAUUUAUAAGUAUUUUCAUCAUGUAUUUUUAUUUAACAAUGGUGACAUUUAUUUUUUAACUUAAUGACUUAAAGUGGCUUAACUUAAUUAAUUAAGUUAAUUUUAGGUGUUUGUUUUUAUAACUUAAUAGGACAUUUUAGAUAAUUUUGACUUAAUAAAAUAGGCCAAUUUUUUUUAACUUUUUACUUAAUAGAGAAAUUUGAAUUAAGUCAGUUACUUUCUAAUGUAAAAAAAUAUUCCUACUUUAUAAUUUAUUUUUCAUGCAUAUUCAAAAACUCACCCAUAGAUAUUUACCCCACAUAAUCUCAUCUUUAUUUUCUUCCAGCCGUCAUGGAAUCCCUCCUCACUUUGCUUCUCUCCUCUAGUUCUUGAAUCUCCCUUUAAUUUCUCGCUAGGCAAAGCACUUGAAUUGGGCUUUUUUUUUUUCCUUUUCAAUUACGUUUUCCAACAUUCACUUAUAUAAUAAUCAACUAGUUGCUACUCUUUUUAGUGAUAAAAUUUGAAAUAUGGUAUUUUAUAUAUUAAAUUUUCAAAAUUAUGUAUUCACUUAAAUGUAGUUUUACUUAUAAAUAUUAAAAUAUUAUGUUAUUUAAUAUAUUAUUUAUUUGACAUUCAAAUUUAAUAAGGAUAUAAAUGUAAAAGUACAUAUUUUUAAUUUUUUAAGUUGAAAAAAUAACUUAAUAUUUAUUUUCAGAUAUUCAAAUAAAAAAUAUAUUAUUUAAAUUCAAAAAUUUAAAUCUAUUCAAAAUUUAAAGUAAUUCAGGUCUAUGCAUAUUUCAAUCAUAAAAACAAAUGCCACAUGAGUCAUUCAAUUUCUAAUUAAGAGGAUAAAAAAUAGAUUUGGACUAUCCUAAGACAAAAACAAAAAAAAAAACAAAAAUAAGAUUUCCUAAUAAGUGUACUAACGUGGUCACGCGCCUUGAGAAACGCUUGGACCUAACACACUAUUUUAAUCCGAUAUGCAAAAAAAGAAAAAAAAAAAAAAGGAAAAAUUAUGAGAUGUAUAAGUUUCUAGAGACGUGUUAAAUUUUGAUGAAACAAUGAAGAAAGUCGGUGGCCGAAGUUGGUAUGGGGCAAUGCGAAUGGUGGUUGGCCCACGUUGCCCUGUAAUUGGAGUUGUUAUAAUUUUUCUUAUAAUUAAUAGGACUUGACACAGACUGCAGCAUCAGCCGUUGGAUGUGGAGGGAGAAACUAAACAAUAGAAAACCGUAUGGUGGGAUGACGGUAGAUGUUUGUUACAGAAACUGUACCAUAGACAGGUCCUAAUUAAUAAGCUCUACGUUUUGAAACAAUAAAUAAACUCCAGAUGACCAAAAUAUCAUUUCAUACUGCUACCUAGACAUCUUGGCGAGGGUGGGUAAUGUGGGGCCCGGAGCUUGUUUGAUCGUCAAUUAUUCUCUGGUUUGGUGAAACGAAUGGACGGACGAUGGUGAUGGCUUUUAGGAGAUUAGUAUUAUUAUUAUUAUUAUUAUUAUUACAUUGAGAUCGUAAAACAAAAAAUUCAAUUAAUAAUAUAAAAUAUUUAUUUAAUUUAUUAAUUAUUAUAUAUACACAAUAAAAAAAUUUAUAUACAUAUUUAUAAAUGUGUAAAUAAAUUUCAUUCAAUAUUAUAUCCAAUUAAUCAUUUAUAUUUUUCUGCUGUACCGUACAUCCGCCUUGGCCGUACAGCAGUAAAGCUGCUGAUGCUUUAUCGCGAAUUCAUGAGGAAAAUGUGAUUGAAGAACCCAAACCAACAACUCUUUGUUUGUCGUUAGACAUUUACCCCACAUAAAAAUAUCCCUAUUUUUUCUUUCUUAUAUUAUAUACGAUAAAAUUUGAAAUUUAUGGUAUUUUAUAUAUUAAAAUUCUAAAAUAAUUAUGUAUUCACUUGAAUAUAGUUUUACUUAUAACUGUUAAAAUAUUGUGGUAUUUAAUAUAUUAUUUAUUUGACAUUAAAAUUUAAUAAGGAUACAAAUGUAAAAGUACAUAUUUUCAGUUUUUUCAGUUAAAAAAAAAGCAACUUAAUACUUAUUUUUCGAGAUUCAGACGAAAAAAUAAACAUAUUAUUCAUAUUCAGACAUUUAGAUAUAUUCAGAAUUCAAACUAAUUCAGGUCUAUUCAGAUUUUAGACAAAAAAAACAAACGCCACCUCAAUCAAUAAACACACCAUAAAUGUAGAGUUGUUACUAUUAGAAUACAUUAUAAUUCAUCACAAUUAUGAUAGGUAUAUACGUGUGUAAUAAUUUAUAUAAGAUGCUAAAUUUUGAAAAUAAUAAAAAAUCAUUUAUACAUAUUUAAAAAAAUCAUUAAUACAUUAAAAUGUGCAUCACAUAUACAUUUACAUAAUAGCAAUGACCAUAGUAUAAAAAAAACUCCUAAAAGAGAACGACUUCGUUAUUUAUGUUAUUUUAUAUAUUUUUAAUUGAUUAUUAAAAGGAUCAAUUGUUAAUUAUUAUUCUCCAAACAUAAUCACCGUUAAACAUUUAUUCAAUUUAACAAUAGGUAGAUGUUAAAUAAUAUUGGAAUAUUUAAUGAACAAUAUAAUCACUAUUGCAGUUGUUUUUUUUUUUUAGUAAUGGAUUAUUCGAAACUCAAAUUCAUUUUUUAGCCCCCUUACCUCUCUUAAAAUUCAAAUUUAAGUGACUAAACAAAUAAAACUGCUUAAAAUCUAUACGACUACAUCUUUGGGGACCAAUUAAUAUGGAUGUUUAAAUCUUGAUUUAUUAUUAAAUCUUUGAGUUUCAACCACUAAUAACAUCAUCAUCGAUUAAUGACAAAUAAAAUAAUACAUCAUCAAAACCAUUAAACACGUCCAUCAAUAUCAAAAACAAGUAAAAAGUUUAGCAUGUAUUUCAAAUAUACUUUUCAUCCCAAAAGUUGUAGAGAAAGUCUCGAUAUCAAUGUCACUAUGAGACGUAAUUUUAUAUUUAAAGUCAGCGCAACUUAAAAAUUACUAUGAAUGAAUAAUACACCAUAAAAAAAUUAUUUAUAAGUAUUUUCAUCAUGUAUUUUUAUUUAACAAUGGUGACAUUUAUUUUUUAACUUAAUGACUUAAAGUGGCUUAACUUAAUUAAUUAAGUUAAUUUUAGGUGUUUGUUUUUAUAACUUAAUAGGACAUUUUAGAUAAUUUUGACUUAAUAAAAUAGGCCAAUUUUUUUUAACUUUUUACUUAAUAGAGAAAUUUGAAUUAAGUCAGUUACUUUCUAAUGUAAAAAAAUAUUCCUACUUUAUAAUUUAUUUUUCAUGCAUAUUCAAAAACUCACCCAUAGAUAUUUACCCCACAUAAUCUCAUCUUUAUUUUCUUCCAGCCGUCAUGGAAUCCCUCCUCACUUUGCUUCUCUCCUCUAGUUCUUGAAUCUCCCUUUAAUUUCUCGCUAGGCAAAGCACUUGAAUUGGGCUUUUUUUUUUUUCCUUUUCAAUUACGUUUUCCAACAUUCACUUAUAUAAUAAUCAACUAGUUGCUACUCUUUUUAGUGAUAAAAUUUGAAAUAUGGUAUUUUAUAUAUUAAAUUUUCAAAAUUAUGUAUUCACUUAAAUGUAGUUUUACUUAUAAAUAUUAAAAUAUUAUGUUAUUUAAUAUAUUAUUUAUUUGACAUUCAAAUUUAAUAAGGAUAUAAAUGUAAAAGUACAUAUUUUUAAUUUUUUAAGUUGAAAAAAUAACUUAAUAUUUAUUUUCAGAUAUUCAAAUAAAAAAUAUAUUAUUUAAAUUCAAAAAUUUAAAUCUAUUCAAAAUUUAAAGUAAUUCAGGUCUAUGCAUAUUUCAAUCAUAAAAACAAAUGCCACAUGAGUCAUUCAAUUUCUAAUUAAGAGGAUAAAAAAUAGAUUUGGACUAUCCUAAGACAAAAACAAAAAAAAAAACAAAAAUAAGAUUUCCUAAUAAGUGUACUAACGUGGUCACGCGCCUUGAGAAACGCUUGGACCUAACACACUAUUUUAAUCCGAUAUGCAAAAAAAGAAAAAAAAAAAAAAGGAAAAAUUAUGAGAUGUAUAAGUUUCUAGAGACGUGUUAAAUUUUGAUGAAACAAUGAAGAAAGUCGGUGGCCGAAGUUGGUAUGGGGCAAUGCGAAUGGUGGUUGGCCCACGUUGCCCUGUAAUUGGAGUUGUUAUAAUUUUUCUUAUAAUUAAUAGGACUUGACACAGACUGCAGCAUCAGCCGUUGGAUGUGGAGGGAGAAACUAAACAAUAGAAAACCGUAUGGUGGGAUGACGGUAGAUGUUUGUUACAGAAACUGUACCAUAGACAGGUCCUAAUUAAUAAGCUCUACGUUUUGAAACAAUAAAUAAACUCCAGAUGACCAAAAUAUCAUUUCAUACUGCUACCUAGACAUCUUGGCGAGGGUGGGUAAUGUGGGGCCCGGAGCUUGUUUGAUCGUCAAUUAUUCUCUGGUUUGGUGAAACGAAUGGACGGACGAUGGUGAUGGCUUUUAGGAGAUUAGUAUUAUUAUUAUUAUUAUUAUUAUUACAUUGAGAUCGUAAAACAAAAAAUUCAAUUAAUAAUAUAAAAUAUUUAUUUAAUUUAUUAAUUAUUAUAUAUACACAAUAAAAAAAUUUAUAUACAUAUUUAUAAAUGUGUAAAUAAAUUUCAUUCAAUAUUAUAUCCAAUUAAUCAUUUAUAUUUUUACAGCGGUUUAAUAAUAAUAUUUACUAAAUACAUAUGAUUAUUUUUAAAAUUCACAGUAUUUUUAAAAAUAAAUUUUAUAAAAUUUUUAACUAAUUUUCUUUACAACUAACUAUUGAACGGUUUAACUAAUAGUAAUUAUUUUUAAAAUUAUAGUAUUAUCAAAUUAGUCCUAUGUCAAAUUUGUUAUUGCUGUUUUUUUUUUAAUUAAAAAAUUACAUAGUGCAUACGUGCAUAAUAUGCCCAACUCAAAAAUUCACACAAAAUAUACUAUUUAACUUUAAGGCUUUAAUUGAAAAAAAAAAUUAAGAUUAAGAUGAAUAAAUACUAGAACAUAACAAAUAGAUAAACUCUCCCAUUCUUUAAAAAGAUUAAUUUUAUUUUAAACUUACACUUCGAAUUCAAAGUAGACAUUGAUUGAUAAAAUUAUACAAACGGAUCAAUAUUCCUACAUUUUCUUUUUAAUUUCAAAACCAACAGAUAUUGUUUGUUCAUUAUAUGACCUCCAAACAAAUAAUUUCAUUAAUAAAAUAAUAAUGAAAAGUGUCGUGAUGGGUAUAGAGUAAUUAGGUGGCUAAGUUUCUACUUUUCAUUCUAACUCUUGAGGUUGGUAGGCGCGUGGGUGGUCCACAAAACCCGUGGACGGUAGCAUUCAAACAAAGACUGGAGGCACCAGAAAAAUGUCCAAAAAGUGUGAAACCGUGACGUGUUCAACAUGUUAAUAAAUUUAGGCAAAUGUUAAAGUUACGGAGCUGGCUACGUUACAGAAACUGUACGUAACAGCCAUGCAUUUUUUAUUCGUUGGAUCUAGAGACUGAAAUUGGAUGGUUGGGAUUAAAGGCCAGAAUAGAAAUUAAUCACGGGCAACCGUUUUUAACAUUUAGAAGGGUUUAUUUUCAUGCACACCCAAAUAUUUUGACAAAUAUCAAUAUGCACCCAGUAACUUUUUAUGUAAAACCACAUAACCGACCCGUUAACUUUUCUACUAUUGAAUUAAAAAACUAUCAUGCCUCAAUUGAAUUAAAUUGAUCAGGUAAAAUAUCUUUUAUAACUUGUCAAUUUUUACAGUGAAAUAUACGAGUAUUUAGUAAAAUCAAAUUUAUUUUUUAUUCAGUAAUCAAAUUUUUUUAUUUAGUGAAAUCAAAAUUAUUUUUCUUUAGUUGUAAGAUUUUUUUAACAAAAAAAUUCUAAAAUCAGAUUUAACUCAUUUACUAUUUUAAAAAAUGAACUUUUUACUAACCAAACUAGAGUUUAUCUUUAGUCAACAUAUUUUUUUCUCUAAAAUAACCUUUGAUAGAAUUACUUAUAUAAACAUGUCAGUAUCAAAAUUACUUCAUAUUUUACCAUCCAUCAAUUUAAACUAGUGUGAAAUUUUUUUAGUUUGAUAUUGAAAAUAUGAUAGUUGAUGAGAGAAAUCUAAUUCAAAUUUACAGAUAGAAUAGUUUCUUAUAAUUGCGUACAUGGUAUAUCAAAAAUAUUUUUUUGUGAGUUUUUAAAAAAAUUGUGUCACAAGAUGAAAUUAUCUCUUGAUUUUUCAAUUCCUGGAAUUUAUGUAAAACAAUAAACACAAGUAAAUCUUUUGGUUUGUGACUUCUUGAAGGAAUGUUUGGGAACGCACAAGUUCCUCUCUCCUUCAAAAAGAAUGAUAAGUGCAAAUACCAACCUAGAAAAUUGAUUUAUAAUUCAAAGAAGAUUUGAUUGAAGAUGAUUAAUUGAAAUUUAUCUUUGCAUGAUGUCAAACAUUUUUCAAAAUGACUAAGUCAAGUCUCUUUGUUAAUUCAAAUCAAGAAAAAUUAGAAAAAUAUUAAUGCAUAGAAAUUCUACUAAGAGUUAUUUAUGAAAUUCUCAAACGAAUAGAAAUUAAAUUAACAUUUUUAAAUUUUAGUUAUGGGUUUAUUUUAAAAAUGGGUUUAGAAAGAAAUUUGAGGGGUUUAAAGAACCCCGCCCUUUCUUUAAUUAUUCGGUGAAUUUGAAAUAUAUUAAUAAGGUAUAAGAAUAUGUUAUUCUAAUCUUCUUAUGCAAAAUCUAUGCAAUUAAAAAAAAAUUCACCAAACGGUAUUUGUCUUUUUAUUGACAUUUAAUAAUAUUGAUGGCAAAUAUAUACAAUUAUCAAUCAAUUGUUAUCAACUAUUCAAGAUAACUGAAAAACUAAUUGCGUGAAGUUGGAGUAAUGAUUGUUUGAAUUGCCAAGAGUUUUUUUUUAAUAGAAACUAUUGCAAUUCAUAUCAUUAAAAAACUUAAAGACUACAAGUCGAAUAAAAAAUCUUUCCUUAUAAAAGAAUUUGACCAACUCAAAGUACAGUGUUAAAUCCUUGAGAUACAAUGAACCUAAAAAUCCUACUUUGACACACCACAAAUAAUGAAUCUAACUUAACAAUCAAUGGAGAUAAAUCAAUUUUACUAGCAAAAUAUAAGCCAAAACACAAGGCAACGUCUUCACCAAAAUCAAUAUCAUUCAAAUAAUUCCCCUUGUGAACGCCUGAAGCUAUCAUAAAAACAACAAAAAAUAAAAAAAUAAAAACAAGUAGACAAGCAAAAAAAUUCCCCAAUAACAAGUUACCCUACAAAACUUUUCCUUGUAGAACAUACACAGAAACCGCAGCUAUAGGGCUAUCGAAAGUAGGGAUGGCAAUGGGGAGGGGAGGGGAGGGGACCAAUCUCCCCAUACCCAUCCCCGAUAUUUUGCGUAUGUCCCCGUCCCCGUCAGAAUUGCUUGAGAGAAUCUCCAUCCCCUCCCCGAAUAAUAACAGGGGAUCCCCGAGGGUCCCCGGUCUUUGGAAAAGCUAGGAAAGAAAAGGGACGUGAAAAACAAAGGGGGUAGAUUUUUUGAAGGGGAAAGAAAAAGAAACCCUAGAUCUAAAUUUUUCUCUUCUCUCUAUGAAGAACUAAACCUAUUAUUCUGGUUGAAGAUUAAUAAAGCUUUGGUUCAUCAUUACUGUGAGAUCUUUCUUAUGCUUUAAUUGUUUUAUUGCUUUUUGGGUAUUUGUUUAUUCUCUAAAUUAUUGUCAUGAUUAUAUUUGUUAAUUAGAUAAUUGGCCACUAUUUAAUUAUCAACUUAAUCUAUUGUCAAUUAAAAGAUUCAUCGUAUGAAGAUUUUAAUAUUUGUGACAAAUAGCAUAGCAGUGCGUUGUGUUAUGAGAAUAAACAAUCUAAUUUAAAUGAACCAUCGUAUGCGUUUGUUGAUUAGGAUUUGGGUCUCUCUGAUUUUUCAGGUUGUCAAUUAAUUAAAUCCUAUGAUUGUAUCUAGGGUUAUCUAUUAAUUAGGGAAAUAACCAAUGGUCGUACCUUAGUUAUCGACUAGUUAAAGAGAGAUUGGCUAUUAAAGGGUCUCAGUAGCUAGGGAUGGCAAAAAUCCCCACGGGGACGGGCACCCUCGGGGAUUUUCCCCAUUCGGGGAGGGUACGGGGAUAAUUUUAUACCCAAUUUUUUUUUCGGGGAGGGGACGGGGAAAAUUUUUUACCCAAUUUUUUAUUCGGGGAGGGGACGGGGAUGAGGUGGAAUCCCCAUCCCCUACCCAUUUCCCCAUUUUAAUUUUUAUUUUUUAUUUUUAAAAUUACUAAUAAAUAUAUAACAAAAUUAUAAAUAUUGGCAAGAUAUGAGUGGAAUUUUGGGUGUGACAUGUAUAUUUGAUCCAAGGUAUAAAAAGAAGUUCAUUGAAUAAUACUUUUCUUUUUAUUUUUAAAAUUACUAAUAAAUAAAUAACAAAAUUAUAAAUAUUGUUAAAAAUAAUAAAUAUCAAAAUAGUUGUAUGUUGGGAAAGUGGUCACCCCUUACCAGGAAUUAGUGGAAGAGUAUCAAUUGAAGUUUUCACCAAUUGUUUAUUGCUUUGAUUAUACUGGUUGUAGUUCUUCUAUUAGAUCUACAGGGGAUUCUUAUAAGAAAGCAACCAAAUGGAUGACAUGUUUUGAUGAUUAUGUAAACAAUGGAGAUUGUGCAGUUGUUGCAGAUGAAUUAGAUUCAUAUUUGGAUGAAAAAGUUAUACCCCGGAUGGAAGAUUUUAAUAUUUUGAGUUGGUGGAAGACAAAUGCUAAUAGGUAUCCUACAUUAGCUCGAAUUGCUACAGGACGAGCAGGAGGUAAAUAGUUUUAUUAAAAAUAUUAAUUAAGUAUCUACAUUUAUUUCAUUUAUUUUAUUGCCGAUGUAAAAAAUAUUUUUUUUUUCUUUUUAUUGUAGGAUUAUGAAGAUUGAGACAUUGAUAAAGAUAAUUAUUUUAAUAAUUUAUAUUUUGAAUGUGACUUUGUAAUGGAUCAAUAUUAAUGUAAGAUAUAUUUUAAACUUUAUUUUUAUCUGAAUUUUUUAUUUUAAUAUGAUUAAUUUAAAAUCAAAAAUAAAAAAAUGUAUUAGACUAUUAAUUAUUCGGAGACCGGGGACCCUCGGGGAUCCCCUGUUAUUAUUCGGGGAGGGGAUGGGGAUUCUCUCAAGCAAUUCUAACGGGGACGGGGAGGGGACGGGGACAUACGCAAAAUAUCGGGGAUGGGUAUGGGGAGAUUAGUCCCCUCCCCUCUCCUCCCCAUUGCCAUCCCUAGAUUUUUGCCAUCCCUAUCGAAACCUCUACCCACCACUAUUAGAGUUAAAAAAAUCUCUGAUAUGAGUGUAUUCUUCUAAUUUGAACUCUAACGUGAUUUUUUGAGAGAUUCAUUGGAAAAAAACCUUAAGGAGUUAAAGAAGAAAUUUAAAAAAAAAAUCAUAAAAAGAGGAAUGAAAAGAAAAAGAUGCUUUACCAAGAGUUGAUUGACAGUAAUUGGUAAAUUUGAGCAUGCAAUAAAAUUUACCCAUAUAUUCAUAUGACAUAAAAUAUAAUUUUAUUCAUUAAUUACACUACUAAUUUGUCUAAAUUUUAGUUUUUAAAAAAAUAAAUUUCUAUAUAUUUACAUAAAUCUUAGUUUUUAUAAAAAUAAAUUGAAAAAUAAAUUUAUGUUUUUAUAAAAAUAAAUUUAUGUUUAUUUUUUUACAUUGACCUGAAGAAAAGACUAGUACUACUAAGCUGCUGUACGGCCAAGGCGGAUGUACGGUACAGCAGCAAUUUGACUGUUUGGGGGUGGGGUUGAUGGCUUACAUCAAAGUUAGUGUGUGCUAAGGAUUAACAAUAAUAAUGGGGUAAAUAUGAAAUUAAUCCUUGCCCAAGCAUUAGAAGUUCGUCGGUUUUCUUUUAACCGGAUAAUUACCGGUGAAUAUGUCACGCGUUCCUACACGUGGCAGCAUCUAAUUUAUUCGCUUGUCAUUUCAGUUUCUGUUAGUUACAGUUUCUGUAACGUAGCUAGCUCCGUCAGGUACAGGCAUGUUGUAACUUACGUUUCUCGUAAAAAUCAUAUAAGUUCUAUUUCUACCGCUAGGGUGAGCAUGGGUUGAUUUGGAUUAAAUUUUAAGUUAAUUUAAAUUAAAUUAUAAAAAUUUGGGUGUAAUCUAAAUUAAUUUAAAUAUUUUUAACAUAACUCAUGGGUUGGUUAAAUCAAACUAUAAAAAUUUGGUCCAACUCAAAUUAACUCAAAUAUUUUCAACACAACCCAAAGCAACUCAGUUGGAUUUUAUUAAAAUUAUAAUAAUUAUUAAUUGUUUUUAAACCAACCAUUUUGAGUUUGGUUUGGAUUUUAUUAUCAAAAUAUAUUUUUUAUUUUGAGAAAUUUAAUUUUAUCAAAAUUAUAAUAAUUAUUAAUUGUUAUUACUUAUUAAAUUGAUAAUAACAUAUAAAAAUUAUAAUUCAUAAAAAUUAUAAAUAACAAAUUUUACAAUAACUUAAUCCUUAAAUUAAAGAAUACUAGAAAAUUAAAAUAAAGUUUAAUCACAAAAAUCAUUAUUUAUCAAUAAAUAAGAAAAUUCUAAUAAAAAACUUCUACAAGCACGAUAUCGACAAGUAAAUUCAAAGAAAGAAAGAAAGAAAGAAAAGACUAGUACUACUAAGUAUUAACCCUAUUACAACACAAACUCUAACAAUGUCCAUACAAAUAAAAAAAAAUAAGACAUUCUAACUCAAGUGUCAAAGCAAUCCAUCAUAAUCAUUUCCAUCCGUAGUACUUUAAUCGAGAGAUUCCACGAUUAACUGACAAAAUGUAUGACAAUGAUAAUUUACAUUGAUUAUGACAUAAUAGAGAUGGAUUUGUCAAAGCCAAAUCAUUUGCUGGAAAGGAAUUUAGUUGAAGUAGGAACCAAAAUUCAACUUAGAUGGAUCUAUAAAAUUGGUCAUUCAAUACAUAAGUACUUUAUCAACAGAUUCAACACAUUAUAAAUUUAUGGAUUCAACUAAGUUACAACCAGCUGCAACUUAUUCCUCUCACAUAAACAAUAAUACAGCGGUAGGCUAUAUUAUUUACAAAAAGUACUUAUGUAUUGAAUGACCAAUUUUAUUACCUGCAAAAUUAAUUAAUCUUUCACUCUAUCAUCUAACUAAUGGAAGGCAAUCUUAUUUUAGGUUGUAAUGAUUAGAAACUAGCAGGAAGUGGGGGCGAUGCUCCAUAUUAAUUUGGAUAAAUCCCUUUCUAGUGAAGAAGUUAAAAUUAUAAAAUAGAGAUCAAGAUAGAAAUUUAAAGGCCCCGAUUGUUUUUUACAGACUUAAAAAUGAUAUUGAAAAAUUAAAAGCUAAUUUUAGUAUUUAAAAAUUACUUUAAGAAAAAUCACCCUAUCUUCCUGUAAAUUUUGAAAAGCAUGAAAAGAGCAGUUUUUCAAAAAUUGAUUUCGAAAAUUAGUUUCAUACUUAAUACAAUUCCAUAUAUCCUAACAUUUAUUAUAAAAAUUCAAAUUAUCCUUAUUAAAUUAGGAAAUAAAGUCAGUACAUUUAAAUAAGAGUGAUGAUAUAGACACAAACUCUUGUACCAACUGACGUAGCAUUAAUUUAUUAGUUGAAUGAAAAUAUAAAAUAAUAUAAAUAAAUCAUGUGGGCCAAGAAAUAUUUAAUUUAACCAAUUUUAUCAUGUCACAUUAUAAGCAACUUAUAAACUCAUUGGAUUCGACUCUUUACUAAAAUAAAAAUAAAUUAAUAUAUAUAUAUAUAUAUAUAUAUAUUUACAUACAUAAAAUGUGAUUAUAUACACAUAUUUAUAAUUGAAUAUGUACAUAAAUUCUGUAGAUUUAUGUCUAUCUAUACAUUUGCAUUCUUACCACAUUUUAAAAGUGUGAUUUACCAAAUACAUGGGACUUAUUUGAAAUUUAUAGCACUUUUAUAAAUAAAAUUUAUCAAACGUUAAACAGAUUCUCUAUUUUCGCGUAUAUAUCCUCAUGUAAAUUAUAAAAAUUCAAAAUUAUCUUUAUUCAAUUAGGAAAUUAAAUCAUUAUUUUUAAAGAGAUUCUUAUUAUUACUAAUUAGAUUCAAAUAACCAAAAAAAUACAAUCAAUAAAAUAAAAAUAUUUAUUUUAGUUAUCAUUUAUUAUAUACACAUAUUUAUAAAUGCAUGUGUAAAUAAAAUUUUAUAGAUUUAUGUCUAUUUAAGUUAUUUGCAUUCUUACAACAUUUAAAAAAUGAGAUUUACUAAACACAUGUGAUUGUUUUUAAAAAAGUUACAACACUUUUAAAAAUAAAAUUUAACAAAUGUUUAAUUGACUCUCUCCAAAGGUAAUUGUUUUUACAGUAUAGCUAAAGUAAUUUAUAAAUUUAUGAUAAGUAUUUGUGAAUAUUGGUCUAUGUAAAGAAGUAAAAACAACAUAUAUAUUAAGCAGCAUGAUAUUAAAACUCUUAGUAAAAUACAUAUACUAAUAAAAGAAAGACAACAAUGCAAUAAAUAAGCUUAUAAUAUAAAUUAUUAAAAUUGUAUAUUAAAAAAUUAUGCAUGAAAUUCUUUUUCUAUUUUGGUGAUAGAGAAUGCGAUAUAAUUGAAUUAUUUGAUUUAAUAAAAAAAAAAUAUGACUGUGAAGGAAAUUAACAAUUGAAUUGUGGAAUGUUAUUAAUUGUUAUUGUAUCAUUUUGCAACGUUCUAAUAAUAUGGACAAUGUUACAGUAUAUUGAUGGGCGGUAAUAUUUUCACCUCUUAAAUUGUGUAAAGUCAGCUCCAUUUAAAAAAAUUAUAUAUAAAAAGCCCAUUAGUUUUAAUAGUUUCAAAUUAAGAUUAAAUGCAAAUAAUUAACCAAUUAAAUCCUUAUUAAUAAGAUCAUUGAGCUUUAAUUAAACUAAUAAAAUGCAUUUGAUAAAUGAAAUUUACGAUAUUUAAUUACAUGAAAUUUAUUGACUACAUGAAUAAUAUAAUUGUUCAGCUGUUUAAACUUUUUCCCUAUUUAAAUUUUAAAAAACAAUGUGAAAUUUUGUAAAUAGUUCUUUGAAAUGGGGUGGAUUUACACCAUUUGUGCAGUGCAAAUAUCCUAAUUCUAACAUUUUUUUUAAAAAAAAAGACCAAAUCAUAACAUUUUUUGUAUACUAAGUUAAAGUAGUACUAACAUUAUAGCCCCCUAAUGAUUUCAAUUCAUUCAAUGAAUAUAUAAUUUAAGCAUGUUAUAAACUAAGUCUCUAAAUCGAAUUAAAAAAAGAAAAAAGAGCUUAAUUGCUGACAUAGUUGAAAAUAAAAUAAAAAAUUUUAUUAUUAGAUGAAAAAUUAUGAAACUUAAGGGGUAUAAGCGAGUCGGCAGCUGCUCACCAGGGCAUAUGUAAUAUUUGUUAAUACAUUUCAAAAUUUUAGGUUUUUUAAUAAUAUUUUCAAUACAUUUUCUAGAAGGUUUAGAAAAAAAAAAUGACUCAAUACUUUAAUCGAGCUAUGAAUAAACUCAUGUGUUAAAAAAUUUCAUAUUUACACCCAAUAAGAUUAAUUAAUGGGUGAUACAAAUUUAAGAUAGUUAAUAAUAAUAUAUAUCAUCUUAAGUUAACUUCAACUCAUUAACCUUGUAUAAGGUUUGAUGGGUCGUGCCGCAAAUUAUCACCUCUAAUCCUUUUUGCAACAGGCAUGAUGAAUGCUAACAAAAUGAAACUUCUAUAUAUUUAGUUGUUAUUCUUUUUAAUGAAAUAAUAAGGAGCUUUGCUGCAAAUUUCCAUCCAGCAUGGCAUGGACGCACGUGAAAUUUGCUAGUAUGGUCCUGGACAUGCGUGGCUGAGAUGCUUCUAAAGGCAAAGAAUUCCAAGUUCAUACCAAAUAUAACUUUCUGAUAUUUUUGUGGUAUCAAGUUUGUUUUUCACAAACUAAGGUGUCGGCGUAAAGUUGUUGUCCAUGCAAUGAAGUUUUAUACAUAAAUAUAUUAACCUAAAUUGUUACUAAAGUUCCAUAAUUAGCAGUUCCUGAGAGUUUUUACUAUAUAUUUUUUUGUUUUAAUUCAACAUAUGUUUAUUUAAUACGAUUUUAUUAAAUAAAUGUGCAUAUUUACCAUAUUUGUCUACGAUCAAUUAGUUGGAAAAAAAAAAGAAAAUUAAUAAAUUUAUUUAUUUGAUUGUUAAUGGUUUAGGCAUUUGAAUUCCCACAAAGUCAGGGUGUCAGCUCUGGACUUCUGGUGAUGUAUUUUUCUAAUAAAGAAAUAAAAUAUUGUUGUCAUUUUUUUAAUAUUCUAAUUUACCAAGCCUACCAACCAAUUAAUUUUUCUAAUUAGAUCAUUAAUUCAUUACACGUGCAUUCGCUGGCCCAGUGCUCCAAUCCCAUGCAUGCUGCACAACUCAAUGUGUUUUAAUAAGAAAAGGUUUGGUUAGCCUGUGCUGAUGCCAGAAGCCCCUUAAGGAGUUCAGGUAAACGUAAAUAUGUCCAGAUUUAGAUUUGAAUAUGUAAACGUAAAUAGGUCCAGAUUCAGAUUCGUUGCGCUAGAGAGGGGCACGCACGAUCGGGCUGCUGUCAGGUGGUACGUUGGCGUGGCAAUUCUCAACACGCGCUUCUCCUGGUGCAUACUUACGGCAAGUUGACACGUGACCCGUGUGGAUUGAGUGGACAGAGUCACGGGCACUGAUUUUUGUCAUCCAUAACGACUAACGUCGGAGACUUCGAGAAGAAAGAAAUUGUUGUCGUUUCUAAGGGGAAAAAAAUAUUUAAUUUGUUGAAGACAAAUUAACGUCGGAGAUUUUUUUUAUUUUUUAUUUUUAAUUUUGCAAUCUAAACCAGUCUAAUCAAAAUGUCAAUUUGACAAAAGUUGGACUGAUUUAGAUUAGUUCUAUUAGUUUGAUUGGAUUAAAUUGAAUUAGAUCUUGAACAUCCUAACACUUUUCAUGAAUGUUUUCCUUUUUUUUUGAAAAAAAUUAAUAAGGAGAAUUCCCAUGAAUGUUAAUUUUAUUGAUAAACUUGGCAAUUUUAAGAAAUGUUUUGACGCACGAAUAAUGCAAUUCAUCAACCCACAUAGAUAUGGAUAUAGGAAGCAGAGACCAGAUCGAUCUUGACAUAACGAAAACUUGUAUGUGUAUAUGUAUGUUACAGACCAGAUCGAUCUGUAGCAUAGACUUCUCCUAUAUGUAGGUUAUAUUCAAAUUACAAAAUGAACACAUGUUAAGGAUCUACAACUUCUUCUUUAAUCUAAUAAGCUCCCUCAACUUUAUUCCAAAACAAAAAAGAAUCAAAUUUUUGUUGGAAAUAUUUAUGAAUGAAGAAGCAAAAAGCGCUUGUAUCAAGGAUCUAAUUAAAGAACUGCCAGAGGCAUAGAUCUAUCAAAGCUCCCUCGCAUGACUCUUGGUCUCGGUGGCUUCUUCUUCUUCAUUCCGAAUUUUCCCUCCAUCUGAUCUCUUCCAACCUUUCCAUUUCCAAAUUGAAUUGAAACUUGCCUCAUAUUCGUUUGUUGAAUCCCAUCUUUUGUUGCACCACCAUGCAUCAAAAUCCUUGAAAUCCCAGCAUAAUGCAAGGACUCAGCUAUUUGCAAUGGGGUCACGUUCUUACUUGUCCUUGCCUCAACAUCAGCUCCCUUCUUCACAAGCAAUUCAGUCACAUCUGUGUGGCCAGAUUCCACCGCACAAUGCAAAGCUGUGUACCCAUCUUCAUCUUUAGCAUCAACAUCAAUCCCUUUAUCAAUCAGAAUCCUCACAACCUCAAUCUUUCCCUUAAACGAAGCCCUAUGCAAAGCAGUCCAUCCAUGUAGGUCUUUCCCAUUGAUCGCGGCGCCUGCUUCGAUCAACCUCUGCAUUGUCCUCACUUCCCCUUUCCUAGCGGCAAUACACAGGCUGUCACCAAGCUUCAACGCGUCAAAGAGACGGGAGUGACCGCACUCAGCAGCAACAUCAUAAGCGGUCUUUCCGCUCUUGUUUCUAAUAUAUUUAUUAGCACCCUUCUGCAAUAACAGCUUCACCAUUUGCUCAUAUCCCAAGCUUGCGGCGAUAUGCAAAGGCGUGUCACCGUCUCUAGCGUUGCGUAUAUCAGGCCUUGCUCCGUUUGCUAACAGAAGUCUCGCGCAAUCUCUUCUUCUGUCUUCAACCGCGAGAUGCAGAGCUGUGUUACCAUCUUUUGUUAAAGCAUUGACAUUAGCACCUUUGAUUAAGAGAAGCUUUAGUACUUCCAAAUGGCCGCCUCGUAAGGCCAAGUGUAUGGGCCCCCAUGUUGAUGUUCCUGAUCUUUCUGUGCUGGCUUUCCUCGCCAACAAGAGCUCAACAAUAAGUGCUUCCCCUGCAGCCGCCGCGGCUUCAAGUGGAGUACUGCAGCCACACCUGCCUUGAGACUCAACAUCCGGCCCAAACUCAAGCAAAAGUUGAACAAUAUCAGGCCUCCUUUGAGCUAUAGCAAUAUGAAGCAACGUUUGUCCCUGCGCAUCGGCAGAAUCAGCCGGGUUCCAAGCCGGGUCACUCCGCUCAAGAACCUCUCUUAAAUCAUCCAUUUCACCAUCCUUAACAAGCAGAACCAAAACAGGAGACCCAACGAACAUGAUCUUGAUUCCGCUGUCGAUGAACACUUGCUUCUUCCUCGUUGUGAACCAGUCACUGGGGACGGAAUCAAGCGUCGACGUUGCAUCUUUAAUUCCAGCUCCAGGAACAACAACGCUGUGCAAGAGGAAGGAAUCAUCACAGUGAGGGAAAGAAUCAGGAAGAACCGAUCCUGGAGGGAGAUGAUACGCAAUCUCUACGCUUAGUGUUGCGAGUGGUGAUAUGAUUCCUGAUUGCGGCUUCACAGUAUAACGAGCCUUGUUUGUAGGCUGAAUCCUGAAAGCAACAGGCAUCGUGUGCAUGACAUUGCGGAGAGUCAGCUCCCCGGAACAUUUCUGCCCUGGUUCAAUUCUGAUAGCUACAAGGUUCGACGGCUCCAAGCUUACAAGCCUAUCCAUUGAUUAAUUUUCUCUCCGUUUCCCAAGGACUGCUGAAAGGGGUUCUUUGAACUUUUUGAUUCAGGCUUAUUUUCUUCACUUUUGGUGGCAUGGGGAGGAAUUAGAGGAGUAACUGUAAGAGCUGCAAGUGUUGGUGUAAUCAACUGUAAUAUAAGGAGAAGAGAGGGCCGGCUCUAAUGGGAGACUGCCACGUGGUGGUGUUAAAAACAAUGAGACUUGUUCUGUUCGGCGUCCGGAGUGUAUAUACAGUUGUGUUAGUGGUGAAAGUUAAAGAAAUCCUGAAGUUAUUUUCGGAGUGGCUUCUGCAAAGUCACUUUCAGGAUUGUAUUGUAUCAUUAAAAAACAAAGCCAGUUUUUGUUGUUCUAGUAAAAGGCGAAUCAUUGGACAAACUCGUAAGAAUAUGUUGCCAAAUGUAUAAAAUAUGAAAUUCAAACAAUGAUUACAAUGUGAAAUUGGACAAUGGACAUGGCCUGUGUGAAUUGUUUUGUGGGCUUACUAAUUAAAUUAAUUCACUAAAAAUAAUGUCACUUUUGUGUCUGUGAAGAAGCCGAAAUGGCACAGUCAUUUACGUGGCCAACUACGGUGACUACUUCGUCAGUAGCUGCUCGAGCACUUGGUCAGCACAAGUUGCUUUCUUUCUUGGCGGGAUUAGUUUUUCUUCAUUGCUUUAAGUGGUGCAUUUCUGCAGUUUCAUUUUGCUUUGCUUAUGCCAUUGGAUUUGUGCCCCAUAAAUAAAUAUAUAAUUAAGCGGAAAAGUAUCAAAUUUUGAAAAAGCUUAGGUUUUGUGUGUGUGUGUGUGUGUGUGUGUGUGUGUGUUUUAAGCCGAAUUACUCGGCUAAAAAUUAAUCCGAUUAUUAUUGUUUUGGUGCUUAAGAUGUGACUCUAACCUAAAGCUCAUUUGAACUCUCUUGAUGCUCAUAUGGUAUUUUUUGUGUUGUGUCGUGCUGGCCCUUACACAUCUCGGCUCAUAUUUUUCAUGUUACUAAGUUCUAAUAUGUACAAAAGAAAUAGAGCAAUGUCCGGUGGUAGAUCCAAACACUCAAUUUGGGGUGCUUAUUUUUCAGUCUCAAAUUCGAUUAUUUUCUUUUAAAAUAUUAAAAUAAUAGUAAUAAAAUACUUAUUUUAAAUACUGAGCUCAUUACAACCACAUAUGUAAAAGUAUCAUUUAUAUUUUUUUUCUAAAUAAUCUUCACAAAAUAUUUUAAAAAAUAAAAUUAUGUGACUAUGGGGAUUUGAACCAAGUCUCUCAAACUACUAAAUAACACUUUUACCACUAAAUUACAAAUCUUUUAACAUAUUAAAAGUGCAUCCAAAUUAUUAUUAUUAUUUAAUUAUUUCAUAAGAGAUUUGGGGCACAUUUAAAAGAAAAAAAAUUAAUGGUGCAUAAAGGACUAAAGCCUCUCUUGAGUCCUUGACCUUAACUAGGUCCACCCAUGGUAAUGUCAGUGAUACCCAACUUGAAAAAUAUACAAGAAACUUGGAAAUUUAAAUUAAUGAAUAAAUAAAUAAAUAAAAGGAAACUUAGUGAUUGUAGCUGUUGUAUUGUAUUGUGGAUCAAAGAAUUACAAGUUCUUGGUUUCUCGGUAUUGGCUAAUUUUGAAGUUAAAUGAAGUUCGAAAAUAUUUACAAGCAAUAAAAUUAUCAACUGAAUGAGACAAGGAAAGAGUAUAAAGACCUUAGCAAAUUAGCAAUCCUUCUUUAAUUUAGUAACAGUGACGCUUAUAAAGUUAGAAGACGUAUCAAAUCUAAUUUAGAUUUUGCCCCAUAAAACUAACUUAACUUAUAGUGCGUCUUUGUUUAAUUAGUAAAUAUUCCACAAAAACUGAUCAGCACUUUAUAGGAAAUUCCAAACACGUUUAUAUUCACAAGGAAUAUGUCAAGGAGAAAUGAGAAUAAAAAAAUGUAAAAACUAAUAAAGCUUCAUUAAUUAGAAUUUAUAACCAUAUGUGCUCCUAUACUACUUUUAUUAUUAAGAAUUUGAAGUAGAAGGUAGUUGAUUAUCAUGAAAUUACAAAAUUGUAAACGGAUUUGUUCUUUUGGAAAAAGAAAAAAAAAAAAAAAGGAAGGAUAGUUGAUUACUUGAUUAGUGAGAAAUCAUACGUAUAAAGGACAAAUUGAAAAAUGGGACCUGAAUUGCAACAAAGCUUCAUUGGAAUUAACUGCCGAUAAAAUUAAAUUAGUAUCACCCUACCCUUUCAUCUUAAUAUAUUCGAAAUUUCACCGAUCAAAGUUUCUAGCUUCGAUUUUUACGAUCUCUCAUCCUAAUAACACCAAAAGCAUAUUCAUUCGUUUGUAAGAUUAUGUAACAAAAUAUAGUAAAUAGCCUAUAAUUUUUUUGUUUUACUACUAACCUGUUAUCAUUCUUUUCUAAUAAUACAUGUUAAAAUAUUCACAGAAAAAAUUUAUCCCUAUUACACCCAACCACCUUUUUUUGUGUUUUUUUUGUUCAAAUUUUAGCAUUAAAGGGACAAUAAUGUCCUAUGAAAUAUGCAGAAAGACAGUUAAUAAUAUUCAAAAAUGUAAGUGGAGGUAUCUUACGCCACACACACAAAUUACACGACUCUCAUUAAUGUGUUGUUGUUGUUAUGUGUGGCGUAAGUUACAGUUGAAUGUCAUAUUCAAAAAAGUAAGUGGAGGUAUCAAUCUCCCUAAAUAAAUAAUUUAUGGAAGGUUGUUAGCUGUUGUACUUUUAGUUAAUUUUAAAAUCACAAUAAUAUGGUUAAUGUUAAGUUACAUGCAUGUAACUUAGGAGGAUCCCAAUAAUAUACCAUAUUUUAUUAAUAUGUACAGUAUUUAUAAUAUUUAAAAAUUAAGGAAUUAAUGUACGCAUGUAAAAGCUGCAUUGGAGCCAGUUGGAAAUCUUACUGUCUUGAUAUAUGCAACGAUUGUAGCAGCUAAAAAGGCAUGAUAUUUACUUAAUAUUAUUUCAAACAAUAAUUAUUUAUUUAAAGCAAAUAAUAAUAAUGAGGGCAGAAGGACUAUUCUAGGAUCAAUAUGGUGACAGUAUAAAUAAAUAAUAUUAAUUAUUAAUGCAUUGAUGAGUAUUGUUAAAAUGACAUAAUAGGUUUGUUUCAUUGAAUUGAACCUUUUCUCUUAAAAUAGCUAUAAUUUGUUCUCUCUCUCUCUGUGUUUUUGUUUUUGUUUUUCACUUUAGUUUUACUUCUCUUAAAAAACCAAAAAAAAAAAAACAAAAUUAAUGGAAACUGAUGAUGGGAAGACGGACAAUUUUCUAUAUUGUUAAAUAGAAAUGGGCACAAAUGUGAGUUUUUUGGGGCAAAAAAAUAUAGUCAAUGUACGUAGCGUUUGUCUAUUUGAAAACCCGUCAAUAUAAAAACAGGACGUAAAGCUUUCAGACAAAGUACUCUUAUGGCCGUACUUUCCAUAAACCAAAUCAAAAGAAGGAAAAUAUUUGUGUCUGGCUUCGAUGCGACUGUUAACAUUCACAAAUAAACACCUUUGCAUGGUCAGAAAAAUUAACAAGAAAUUAGAAGGCGAUGUUGCGUUCUACUUAGUUCUCUAGGAUUUGUGUCAUUUGUUUAUGCUACGGUUCGUUCCCAUUUGCAUUGCGUGGAAUAAUUGGCCGAAUAUUAUUAAUCUCAAUCUUAAUCUCUCAACUCUUGUCCCUUUAAUUUUUGUUUGUAUCUUUUUCUUUUUUUUUUUAAAUAUCACAUACAAUGCUUUUAAUAAAUAACUUCAUAGAAAUAUUUAAUAAAAUCCAACAUAUAUAAGUUCAAGAAACUCAAAAAAUAAAAGAAAAUAAACUCACGUUGUCACUGGAGAGACUCAAACAUGCUACCUUAAAAUUAAGUAGAGGGUGCAACUACUUGCACUUUAAAAAAAGAAAAGAAAAAAAAAGGGGCUUUGAACGCUCGUGAUAAUUUGCAAGUUAUGGAGGAUAAUCAUUGUACAAUGGGGAGAACUCUUAUGGAACAAUAUUCAAACUGAUAUUGAAAGCAUAUAAGAAUUUGGCUUGGGUGUUUUGGUGCCAUGAAUGAGUGCAGAAACAAAGAGGAAGCUUUGUCCCUUUAAUUUGAUCUGCUGUAUUAUAAUUAUUGAGAUUAAUCAAAUAAAUAACCGAAACAUGGUUACAGUUUUAUAGUGUAUUGCAAGUCUUUGGAGAUACUAUGUACCUCAAAAAAAAAUAUCGUAUAAAAGAGUGUUUUGUUUCACAGGGGUUCAAUGAGAUUUGAGAUGGCUGUAAUGAAAGUGAUGUAAAUUUUUUGGACUCUAAUGAGGUGUUUUUAGAUGGAGGGGGAUUUACAAGUAUUUUAUAGGGGUGAUAAAUGACUGUAUACCCACCAAAAAGGCCCAUUGUUCGAGUCCAUGAGCAUUACAGUUUUUUUUUUUUUUUUUUUUGAAAUUCAGAACAUGCAGUUUGUUUGAUUCAACUUCCGAAUUACAAAAUUAGAAUAAGAAAAAAAAAUGUGGAUGUUUUUUCUUUAAUUUACAUAAUAAUACAUGGUGUGGACGAUGUCUAUUGAGGGAUAAAAGAGGAAUGGGGGCACUGUGAAGUUUGUGUUUUUGUUUUUUUUAAAUUAUCAUAUUCAUACUGUCUAUAAAAAUAUGCAAGUUAAAAAAUUACUCAUGAUAUUGUUGUUUUUGUUUCAUAUAAUACUACUUAUGCACAUCGCCUCAUGCAAACAUUUCUUAGUUAUGCUUAAAAAAAUGAGAUUCUCACCAUGGGUCACUGUAAAAAUCCACAGAAGCCGUGGAUCACAGUAGGAAGCCCACUUGAACAGAAGAAGCUACCGAAAGCUUCGACAUUGUAUUUAUGAAAUGCUUAGUAAAUUUUGUUUUAUUUUGAAUUUAUAUUAUAAAUGGUGUGUUGCUAAAUUAAAAAAUAAAAAAGAAAUGCAAUGUGUCAAAAUACAAGAAUCUUACGGACAUUUUUGUCACAAUAUAUGUAAAUAAUUCAUAUCUUAUUCAUAUCCUAUGUAAGCUUCACUUGUUUAACACAAUGGUGGUUGAAUCUUCAAAAAUUCAUAAUCUUAAACAACCAAAUUUGGAAUUAAUUAAGCAAAUUGCCUCUAUAAAUUGAUUACAACAACCAACGACGUGUGAAGCCACAUGUCAAUUUCCCUAGACAGCCCAAAUAUUGAGGCGCUGUGAGGGAGCAAGGUGCAAUCGGAUGGGGGAAAGAGAGAGAGCCAAUGGUGAGAAUGGAUCGUGGUGAGGGAGAACCAACUGGUGGUGAGAUUUGUGGCUUCAAUGAGGUGAGUUUCGUGGCGCUGUGAGUGAAGUGAGAUUUGGCAUGAGUGUGAGGGAGAAUGCGUGUGUUGUGUGAGUGAGGUAAGCUGUGUCUGUUGUGUGCAUGGAGACUCUCACCACAAUUAGAAUUUAUAGUUAGCACAGAACGAAACACAAUAUUCUACGCUAACUGUGGAGUUAACCAUGGUGAGAAUAUCAUUAUUGUUUAUUAUAACACUUUUUUUUUUAAUUUGUUUUGACAAUAAAAUAAAGAACCUUGUAAGAAAACCUCAAUAACUCAAUUAAAAAACCAACUCAACCGAUGAUAGGUAAAUUGAGAAAUUUUCAACUAAAAAUUAUUAAGAUUGGUUUUAACUUCAAAUCAUAGUCACAUAGUUUUGUCCUUAUAAAGAUCAAAAUAAUGAAUUCUAACUCCGAAGUUUUUAGAUUUAUGUGACGAACUGACGAUAGUAUAUUGAAAUCGAUUGAAAUGAAAAAUUUAAUUAAAUGCAAUUCAAGAUGUAGUAUCAAAUUCAAACGAUUCGGAUUGUUUUAAAAAUUUCAAUGCUUUAAUCUAAAUCGAUUAAUCAAUUACACUCUUGCAAUUAUAUACCGUUAAAACUAAAAUAUGUAAAAUUUAGGGUGCAUUUAUUACCAUUUUCAAUUUGUUGUUUUUCGUUUUAUGAAAAGGAAAAUACAGAAAACUUGUUUGGUGAGCUCAUAUUGGUGGAAAACUGUACAGUGAUUAAAAACAAAAAAAAAUUCAUUUUUCAAUGUUUACAAAGGAAACAAGAAAACGCUAUUACACUGGGUUCUCUAUUUUAUUUCACUUUUACUCUCUGCCAAGGCCCUACCAUCUUAACUUUUAUAACAUGGUGUAAUAAAUUACGUGGGCCCAUUUAAUAAAGAAAUAAUCUAAUAAAUAAAUUAUUAUAACAAAUAUUUAAAAAUAAUAGCAUUCCAUACCUUACAGCUUAAUUACUUAAUAUAUUACCCAAAUUAUUUUAAAUAAAAAGUGAUAUCAUAUAAUUAUUAUACUAAAUUAUUACAUUGUUCGACCAAUAUGCAGUUAUUUAAAAAUUACUACAAACUUUCUUACAUAUAUUAAUGAAAAUAUAUCAAUAAUAAAGUUACAUCUUGACAGUUAAUAUAAAUAAAUAUAUGAUAAUUAUGAAAUAAUUAAAGAUUUUCUCAAUUAAUAUUAUCUUAUAACUACAAUUUAUUUACAUAAUUAAAAGUUUUUAAGAAAUUAUUAAAAUAUCUUCAAACCUAUAUGCAUUUAUAAUAAUAUAUAAUACAUCAUAAUAUAAUAACUAAAUAGAUAAAUUAUUUAUUAAUAUAAAAUAUAUGUUUAUAUUCAUUAUAUAAUAUUAUUCUUUCAUAGUAGUUUCAUUAAAUAAUUCUCUACUCUCUCUCUUUUUAUCUUUAUUUUUUCGGACAGACAAGUAACCAAACACCGCUUCACCUUUUUUUUAUUUUCAAAUACUAUUCUUAAAAUAAACUACCAAACAUAUUUUUAUUUUUAACAAAAACUAAUCAUUUUUAUUUUAUAAAACAAAUUGAAAAGUACUAUUUAAAAUAUAAUACCAAACUUACCCUUAAUAAUUUUAUAUUUGUCAAAAAGAUGAGAAGCUAAGUGGCACUAUCGUUUACCUAUUCAAACUAAACGUGGAGUCACAAUAUUGAAGACACUUUGGUGGCCACAACACUCUUUUCUUUAGUACGGAACAAUCUGGCUUACAUGACACUACAUAAAAAUAAAUAAUAAAAAAUCACCGAUUCCAACUGCCCCGGACAAAAAACAGGCCACACGUAAAAAGGCUUCUAUUUUUAUUUUUAUUUCUCCCCAUUUUAAAGAUGACGUCAUGGUGAUUAUGAAACCAGAAAAUAACAAAUUUUAGUUGUCUGAUUUUGUAGUUAUCCAGCGAAAACUAAAAAAACAGUGAACGCAGCAGCAGAUCUCCGUGUUUGUCGUCGUUCGAUGAGAGAUUCCGAUUCGUGAGCAUCGCAAGUGUUGAAAUGGAAUCAGACGAAAUGAGGAGUUAGCCUCUUAUUAUAUAAUAAUAAUAAUGAUAAUAAUAAUAAUAACUAAUCUCUUUUAUCAUAUAAUUGAUAAUGGAAAUUCACAUUGACAAAAGGCAAAUUACACACUGACUGGGCAGAAUAAAAAACAGUCUCUCUCAAAAGCAAUAAUUUAAACACUAACACCACCUUAAGGAGACACCCCAAAAAUAAAGCAGCAAGCUCUUACUGUGACCACACACACACACACACACCAAACUUUUAUUAUAGAAUAAAUCUAAGAUGAUGGAUGAUGGAUGCGUCACAUAAAAGUUAAUUAAUUUAAUCGCUGUCACUGCUGCUGCUGCUCUCGUGUCCGUCCUCGUGCUUCUUCUUCUUCUCCUUCUUUUUCUUCUUCUCUUCACCGUGGGCGGCGCCCUCGCCGCCGCCGACACCGGGGAUCUUCUGCUUGAUCUUGUCCACCAAGCCCUCCUUGUGUUCGCCCUCCUUGUGUUCCCCGCCGUGAUGCUGCUGCUGAUGGUGAACAUCAGUAGUGCCGACACCGGGGAUCUGCUGCUUGAUCUUGUCCACCAAGCCCUCCUUGUGUUCGCCGCCGUGAUACUGCUGCUGAUGGUGGACAUCAGUAGUGUGGUGGUCCCCACUAUGGUGCUCUCCCUUGUGCUUGUCCUCCUCCUUUUGCCCUCCUCCCAUGUGAAGGGCUUCUCCGAUCUUGUGAAUAACUCCUGACAUUUUCCCUUAAAAUGACUCUGUUCCUCUUCUUUUCUUUUCAAUGAAAAAUAGUUGUUUGCGAUCUUCUUCUGGUUGUUGUUGUUCUUGUUGGGUGAUCUUGGCUUGGUAUUUAUAGGCUCCAAAAGGAGGGACUAGAAUUAGGAUUAGAUUAUAGAUUAUUUUAAUACAUUUUAUGGCAAAUUCUGAUUUGGAAAGAUAAGAUUAUCCUUUUGGUUUUCCUUAUUUACCCUUUUGCACCCAUUACGUGUACGCGUCUUCGUGGGCUUUUUGGGUAUUUCAAUUAUAUCGCCAAUGCUAAAUCGACACGUUGCAUAUCAGCCGCGGUACUGCCGUAUGUAGUUGUCCAGAAAUCGAGUCGAUUCUCGAUCGUACAAUAAUUAAAUAAUAUUUCAUACGAAAUGAGUUUAGAUAUAUUUUGAAAAUUUAUUUUUAAUUUAAUUAUACGUGUUAUAUAUUUGUUAAUCGAAUAGAGGUCCCACGUAACAGAGUGUUUCUCUAAUCUUUCAUUGCUUUUAAUUAAUUUUACCCAAAUAAAAAAAAAAAGGAAAAUUUAGAGAGAGAGAGAGAGAUAGCGAAUUAGAAGUUGAUUGUAAUAUCGACACCUGUCAGACAAUCAAAUAUCGUUAGUUAAAAAUCAGUUGUCCAUAGUCAUGGUCAUAGAUGGCGAAAUUGAUACUUAUUUUAAAAAACAAAACAAAACAAAACGAAACGAAACUAAACUAACAGAUGUUGAAAUGCAGUUCCGUGUUAACAGUCUGUGAUGAAUCUUUAUCUUUGAGUAUACCAUUCAAGAAAUUAUCAUUCAAAAAUUUAUUUAAAGCAGCAGCAAAUCACCUUCUAAUUCCUGAAUCAAAUUAAUUCGAUUUUUUUCGAGUCGAUCAAUUCAUUAGAGAAUUAACGGGCUAAGUUAAAGUUUUGUUAGUUAUUUUUUUUUAUAUUCCUUUAGAUGAUAUGAUUGUCAUUGUCUUUCUUUCUCUGGGCAACAAUAAAUACAAGAUGUGCAAAAGCGUAGUGGAACAUAAUUCGAUUAUGGGUAAAGGGAUCAGUCCGCAUAAUGAGGAUAAAGUUUUUCUCUUUAAAAAAAUUUAACCCAAAGAAAAGGUCGUAGUUUGUAAUAGCCGACACGCAGAUAGAUCACAAAGCAUGGCGGUCCUGAUGGCAAUAACUAACUGAUAUCUUCUGCGAUGAGAGGAGAUCACGUGGUUCUGACACGUAUCGCCCCAUCAACUGAUGUUGUGGCUGCAAUCGCGGCCCAGUCUUUAGAGAGAAGAAAGAUCUGUUAUAACGGGACCUACUUUAGCAUCUAUUUACGACAAAGCCCCUAUUUACUCUACUUAGUAGUAAUAAUAGCAAGUGUCGGGCUUGGAUUCCGUGUUGCUUUAAAUAAAUAUCCGCGUAAAAAGAAAAUGCUUCUUUAAUCCCUUCCUUGUAAUUUUUCGACACGUGGAUGGUUGAAAUUAGCGUGCCGACAUCUUAGGAAUUUUAUCUUGGAGACGGGAACACUGCAGUAGGCAAUGCCAUUUUCUUCGGAUGGUGUGUGGUGACAACGCCUUGGAUUUUGACGUGCAAAGAAUUUAAAUUGAAAAAGAAAAAAAGAAAUUACCAGAAUAAGCAUAGAAGAGAUAUUUUUCUUUUUGUCCUUUUUGGAAUGGAAAAAGAGAUCAAGAGAUUGUUCCAGUAAGUAUUACACAUGUCACAGGCUUAUUCAUGCCCCAUUAUGGCAACUUUUAUGCCUCGCGGUGCCCUCGGUUCCAGCAUAAUAGCUAAGACUUCAAUUUUUCUAACAUAUUUUUGUUACAAAUAUGAACGGAGUAAAUGUAUAACUUUAAUCCUUUGAAUAAAGAAAUGGCGGUUCUCCUGCUCGUUAAUCUCACUUGAAUCCCACCCAGGCAAAAUUUCUUUAUUUUAUUUAACAACAAUUUAAAGAAAGAAACUUUUGCCAGGUUGAAUUUCAAGUGAGAUUCAUUCGUGGGAGAAGUGCCAUUUCUUUAUUCAAAAGAUUAUGGUAAUUACAACUUUCAAUUUCGACAUAAAUUAAAAUUAUAGGCUAUACAAUAAAAUUGCCCUAAAUUAGUCCUAAUCAAUUCAGAUUAUAAAUUUAGGUAUAUUUAUUAUUUUAAUAUAUUAAUGUUCUAUAUAUAUAUAUAUAUAUAUAUAUAUAUGUGUGUGUGUGUGUGUAUNNNNNNNNNNNNNNNNNNNNNNNNNNNNNNNNNNNNNNNNNNNNNNNNNNNNNNNNNNNNNNNNNNNNNNNNNNNNNNNNNNNNNNNNNNNNNNNNNNNNNNNNNNNNACAGCAGAAAAUAUUUGCUAUGGAUAAGGAGACAUGGUCCCACGUCCCACCGUCCCAAUGCAUAUUUUGUAUGUUUCCAUCUUUUCUGAAAUUUUAAUAAAUAAAGUUUUUUGACCACUUGGCCAAAGAACCUUACCCUUACACAACUUUGUGGUUGGAGUCCUGUGAUACAUGUAAGAACUUAUUUUUUUUCUUAAUUAUAAUAUUUUAGAAUAUAAUUAAGUGAAGUAGGUUUUUUUUUUAAAUAUGAGUAAAAUAGAUAUUUUUUAAAUAUUAAAGAGAGUAAAAUUUGAAUAAUAAUAUAUUAAAAUUAAUACAAACUAAUUUUAAUAAUUAUUUAAUUAUAAAUAUCAAUUAUAACAUCAUAUAAUAUCAAUUAUAAUAUCGUACAUCUCAAUUAAUUCAAUAAUAAUAAUAAUAAAUGUUUUUUGGGAUAAGUAAACAGUCGCAUGGCGACAAUAGUGGAUCUGGAUUAGAGUGAAGUGGUCCCAAGAGGCUGAGGCUGUGGCUGUGGAGUUCUAAAAGUCAAAAGCUCCACGCACUUUGUUUCAGUACCAUACACACUGAAAAAAUUUGCAUUUGCAAUGACGAAAACUUUUCACGAAAUCAAAACACCUCUAAACUAUUUUGUUAUCGAUAUUUAAUGGAGGGGUUUCCUACCUUUUUAACACUCGAUUCACGCCUUGACGCAUCUCACAGAAAACCUCAUGAUCCCAUUAAUCUUGCGUAACAUAUCUCAAAGCCAAUGCAAGUGAUCUUGUUGCCUACUUCCCUUUGACGAUUCAAAAUUGUUGAAAAUAAUUCUUUUUUUUUUUAACCUCAAGGAAGUGACAAAAUAUAAAAGAAUAUUUUCUACACAUUAAACAUCUAGAUUUUUUUUUCUUUUCUUUUUAGAGUACUUGCACAAACCGUUUCCAAGAGAGACCUUUUUUUUUUUUUUUUUUUUCCGGGCUUGGUUACUAAUUUGGUGUGAAUACUCUAUGGUGAAAAAGGAAUCACAAAGCUGUAAUCAAUUUUUUUGCAUCAUUUAGUUGUAACUUGAACAUUGGGAGGUUUAUAAAGAAUUAAAUUAAUUAUAAUGCCUCUACUAGGAAAAGUUCAGAGUAGCCCUUCACAACUUUUUAAAGGCUUAAUAAUUUUCGCUUUCUUCCUCUCAUAACAUAACAAAAAAUUAAGAGCUUUACUCGUACACGUCCUAUGGCUAUAUAGUAUUGGGUUCUCUACUUCAAUCGGCUAUCUCAAACCGAAGGUUAUUUGGACACACCAGCAGUCACGUUUGGAAACUCUCAAAUGCUUGGAUUGUAAUUCUUGUGGAUGAGAUCAUCUAAAUCUUGGGCCCAAGCCGGACAAUGGGUGGACAAAGAACCCUAAAAUACAGUAAAGCUUCUAACACCCCACUAAAACUCUUAAGAAAUCCUACCUUUUAUUUUUAUAUCUCUUUCUUUUAGAAAUUAUAGAGAAGACAUAGCAUUUUAAUUAUUUUCCCUGCCAUUGAAAAUAAAUUCUGUAAACAUAUUUUUUCAUAAUAAAAUUAUUGUUAUUAGAUAAUUUAUUUCUUCAUUGUUUCAAAAUUAUUAUAAUUUUAUCAACAAAAUUAGUUAUGUCAUAUAUUAGGAUUAAAAUUAAUUAGGAUCCAUAACUUGUAAAGACAUUUUAGUUUAAUUGAAUUCAUAUUUGUCAUUUUAUGUAAUUUUCAAUAAAAAUACGACUAUGAGUGCAAAAGUGGGAUGACAUAAUAUUAAAAGAGUGUGAAAUAAUCGGUAAUUGAAAUGGAUUGAAAUCAUAAUAGAGUAUGAAAAUCAGAAUAAAUUGUUUACUUUAGUUGUAGAAAUCAAAAUUAAAAUAAACCAUAUUAUCAUUGAUGUAUAUAUGUUUUCUUGUAAUCGAAAUGAAUUCUUAUAAGUUACUAUAAGACCCUUAUGGUGUGUUUACUAAUCAGAAAUCAGAAUGGAGUGGAAUUUGAAUAUAGAAUGGUAGGGGUAUUCGCGGAUCGGAUUUUACGGAUUGGACAUUAAUUCAUAUCCGAUCCAUAAUUUUACGGAUUAUAAAUUCUCAACACAAUCCAAAUCCAAUCUAUAUGUUUGCAGAUCGGAUGCGGAUUUGACUCAAUUCAUAUCCAAUCCACUAUUUGACGGAUUGAUUUUGGAAUUAAAAAUUUUUAAUUUUGUCCAAUCUAUGAGGUAAUUAAAUUUAAAAAUCUAAUAUAAAAAUAAUUUAUUAAAUAAAAAAUUAACGUAAAAAUAAUUUUACUACCAAUUAAAUUCAAAAUUGAACAAGAUUUAAAUAAAUUAAUUAUUUAAAUAAAACUAGAAUAAUUUAUUUAAAAUUUUUAAAUAUAACAUAUCGAAAAAAAAUUCAUUUGUUUAGAUUAAUAUAUGAAAAUUAACUAAAAUUAUGAAUUUAAAUGUUGAAAUUUGAGAGCUUGGAUGUAACAGGAAGAAAUUAAGAAACUUGAAGAACUUGAAAAGAAAGUAACAAAUUAAGCUUAACUACCUCUAAUGGUGAAGUGAAACAGUGAUGGUUUGUGCGUGCAAUGGGGUACAAAUUUGGCAUUAUAUGCCAAAAUAUUUUGUUUGGCUUUAGAAUUUUUAAUGUUUAGGAAGCUAUAUUUGUUUAUUUAAUUACUCAAAUAUUUAAUUAUUUUUUAUUUUAUGUUAUUAUUGAAUAAGAUAUAAUAUUGUGUUAAUUUAGCUAUACUUUAAUUAAUUAAUUAAUUUAUUAGUAAGUAGCAUUGCUACAUUUAUAAGUUUUAUUUUUUAUUAAAUAAAUACUUUUUUUUUUCAGAUUCACGAAUUUUUACGGAUUUACAGAAAUAAAUCCAUAUCUAAUCCAUCGACUGUGGUUUUUUAAAUUUUCAUUCCAAUCCGAUCUACCAAUCCACAAAUUAUAUUUUUACGGAUCGGACGAAUUGAGCGGAUCAAAUUGGGUUCUGAACACCCCUAGAGAAUGAGAAUCAAAAUAAAUUAUUUACUUUAGUUGUGUGAAUCGGAAUUGGAAUAAAUUGUACUGUCAUUGAUGUGUUUACUUUAUCUUGGAAUCAGAAUGAAUAAUUUCAAAUUACUAAACUGACCUUAAUUUUUUAUUGUAAUAAUAAUAGUAGUAGUAGUAGUAAUAGUAGUAAUUUUCUAUUAUUAUUAUUAUUUUCUCUCUCUUUUGUUUUUAUUUUUUUAUUUUUCUCUUCUUCUUCUCUUCCUCUUUUUUUAUUUUUCUCUAAUUCAUCGAUACUUCUUCUUCUUCUUUUUUCUUUCGUUUUUAUUUUUAAUUUUUCCCUUCUUUAUCGUUCCUUCUUCUCCGUCCAUUCUCUAUCUUCAAACUCUUUUUACUUUUUCUCUUAUUCUUCAUUACUUCUUCUCCCUUUUUUUUUUUUUUCUCUUCUUUAUUAAUUCUUCUUCUUCUGCGUCUAUUCUUCAUCUUCAAAUUAUCAAGUGAAAAAUACCCACGGUGCCUUACAAGAAGAAUUGGUUUUGUUUGCUUCAAUUAUUUUUUGUAUUUUGUACUUUUGAUUGUUUCAAAAGAGGAUAAACUUGUAAUAAUGCAAUUUAAGUAGGGAUGUUUUAGACAAUUUUGGGUAUGAGAGUCUAAUUCCCAACCCCCCACUCCCUCGUAGCAGACUCCCAUUCUUCAUUCCUAACUUGGUGUUGGACCUACUAAAAUAAAUCCCAUUCCCCUUCUUAUUUCAAGAAGCAAACACGAUUUUGAUUUCAAUUCCCCAAUCCGAAAGUAAACGCACAAAAAUUGUACCCAUAUGAGAUUGCUUAUCCUCGAGUUUUUAGAUUGAAAAAAAAAAAGGAAAAAAGAAUGGCCCCAUUAGGAAGGGAUUUUAAGUGUUAGAUAAAGCCGGUGUUAACCAUUAGAAGGUCUCCGACCUUCAACUGUAAUAUAUUAAACCCAGAUAAAUUUACAUAUAAAUCACACAAACCAACAUGCCAAUCAAAUAAAUUACAUCAACUAACAACAAUUGACACAUUAAUUUUCAUAAUACAGAGGAUGCAGAAAAUUAAAAUGUUUUAUCUUUUCUCCUUAUUUGUGAAUUGGAAAAUGAAAAUGUUAAACAUACAGAAGAGUGAAACAGGAUGGAUAUAUAUACACACACACACACACACAGCUUUGGAGUUCAAUGUCAUCGUAUUGCUCCAAGAAGAUUGGCGCCAUCAAGCUUUGCACCUUCCAGAUGCUGUUUAAUCAUCACCAUAACACCUUCAGUAGACAUUAAUACAUAAUAGAAACACAAAAUUCACAUGAUCUGAAUGUCUGGUCUAUUUUACUUACCGUAUCUCGAAGAUUUACGUGCCGUAAAUAAGCUCUUUGAAGGUUGGCACCCUUUAAAUUGGCAUUACGUAGCUUUGCACCCUGCCGCAUAAAUGUUCGAAGUUUCAACAAAUUAAAGUCUCCUGAGAAAUACAUGUCACGAAAAAGUAGGGCUGAAACUUGCAUCUAAUGUACAAGAUUCAAUCAGGGGUGCUUGUCCCACAGUGAAAGUGUAUGGGGGAAAGUGCACUUUCACAAACCAAAGGGGCAAGAUGUGAUUAUCACACGAUUACAAAAGGACUGUAGUCAAGAGAGAGAACUGAACAUGCAGCUUGUAUUGAGGCCAUGAAAAUUGAUGAAAAGCAGUAACAAGCAACCAUUUUGAAAACACUUCAUAUGGUCGAAUCAAUAAAUCAAAGCUAAAAUGAUGUUGACGAUCGAUAGCUUUUAGGUGAUAAGAGUCUUGGCACUACAGUUAAAAUUAUUAUCUAGGAGUGCACACAUUAAUAAAAAAAAACACAACCAAUAAGCAUGCACUCUUAAUCAGCAUAUAAAUUAACAAGUUAGUUGCACCUUAUGUUGUUCCACAAACAGAUUGCUCGAACAAUUCACAAUCUUACCUU
rnacentral:lncRNA from 1 species